rnacentral:lncRNA from 1 species
UGAAAUUAGCUUUUGAUAAAAGAAAUCAAAAUCAUCUCAUAAUGUGUUGGAAUGUCAAAAUGUUUUGAGAUUCAACAUUUUUCUAGUCAUUCCAAUAUUAUAAAUUUAACUUCCUUUAAGAGAUUUUGCAAGGACCAAAACUGAACUGAAUUCUUCUGUCUUUGCGUUUAACCUAUUAUUGCCUUUUUUUUAUGUUCUUUGAGAACGAACCCAUACCCAUAUUCCAGAUCCCUAGCAAUGUCAUAUCUUGGUUAAAAAUUACCUGGUUUCAGGCAAUUUCUCUGAAAGAAAGCAAGUUGAUAGAACAUGUCGCCAUGCAACGUGAAAUCACUCAGAAAGAUUCCAGUCAUCAGAUUCGAUACGCCCCCACUAAGUCUCAUGUUGGUGAAGUUGCAGACAAAGCAAAGGAUUCUCUGGCUGCUAUCCUGCAAUCAGCUGAAAAUUACUCUGUUGAAGUGAGAAGUCAUAGCGCAAAUAUUGCUGCCAACUUUGAGAAACAGGAUUUUGAUGCUUCUGAAAACUCCACAGAUUCUGAUAUUGAUAAUGUGGUCGGCAGUUUAACCGGCCUAUCGUCAUAUAGGGAUUUGCUUGAACAAAUUGACACGCAACUACAUGUAGUGGUAUCCAAUAUAGAAGAGUUCAUGAGUACCGAAUUAUCAAUACAAAGUGAUCAGAAUCAGAUGAAAGACCAACUGCAGAAAUUAUCAGAAAUUUUAAACAAUGUACUCUGCAUCAGAGGAAGGUUAGUCUUGACUAAUAUUUCCUUUUGUUUUUGCUGUUAACAAUGCAGGUAGGAGUUGAAAGCCAAAACUCAAAUAUCUUUGCAAUUUGAGUGUCACUUCAUAUUAAAUUAAAUUUGUGAUGGUGAAGUCGAAAGACUUUUGUCUGCCUGAUGUCAUACUAAUAGCAUGAGAGAGGCCAAUAUGUGACAAACUAAUGUAGAACCAGAAUAUACUUGGAUAUUUUGAAAUUAAAUUCUUAAAUAUUUCAGGAUUGCAACCAUCAUGCAGACACUAACAGAUAGCAGCUGAACCUCAAAUUGUGCGAGCGGACAGGCGCGUAAUGAUAUUAAUGGGUAUGUGUAAAAUUCUCCCUGAAUCUUCUAAAUUAUUUGUUGUUUUCUUGUUCUUCGAAAAUAUAAAUGAAUGGUAAUGAGACUUGAAAAGUAUAACAUAAAUUUGCAAAUGUCGUAAACAAUGCAUUAACUCUUAUACAUGUCAUGUAGCAUGAUGAAGGAAAUGAUCUAUUGAGUUGUGUACAGGUUUAACAUUUCGUCAUAUUAAUAGCAAGGCAAUUAUCCCCUAGAGCACUUGAAGAGCAAAACAAACCAAACUCUUUGACAGGGAUAAUUAAUUCAGCUAUUGCCUCUACUUAGUAACACAUUGUUUAGGCAAAACCAAAUACUUUCUUCUAUUGCGAAGGUAUAGGUUGAGUCACAGGAAAAUUCUAGUCCGCAUUGUAUUAUUUGAUGUGGAAUGAAGAUUUAGAAUAACUAAAAUUUGAACAAUUUCUUGGAAAAGAUUCAAAUUCAUCAUGAAAAGCAGAUAGAUAAUGAUUUAAUUAGAUGCAGCUCCAUACUAAUCCUAAUUUUUGUGUAAUACUGUAUUCUUUUAUAUUUACUUGUAUAAUCAAGAAAGGAAAACUUCAAAUACCACCCCUGUGGUUUCGCACUUUUUCACUUUAGUACCCUGUGGUUUAAAAUGCAUCAAUUUAGUACUCUGUGGUUUCAUUUUUCUCUUUUUGUCGGCUCCUUUGUUAAUAUUUUGUUAAAUUAUAUAUAAAAAACUUCAGAUACCCUACCUAGGUUUAUCGAAUAUUCACUUUACUACCUUUUAGUUUUAACUUUAUCACUGAUUUUUUUUUCCUCCGUUAAUAUUUCAUUAAAUUAUAUACAAAAAACUUUAGAUAACCUACCUAGGUUUAUCGAAUAUUCACUUUACUACCCUUUAGUUUUAACUUUGUCACUGAUUUAACGGAAAAAAAUUAGCGAGAUGGAUAAUAAAAAGAGAAAAAUGAAACCACAGGGUACUAACUUGAUACACUUUAAAGCACAGGGUACUUACUUGAUACACUGUAAACCAUAGGGUACUAAAGUGAGAAAGUGUGAAACCGCAGGGGCUAACUUGAUACAUUUUAAACCACAGGGUACUAAAGUGAGAAAGUGUGAAACCACAAGAGGGGUAUUUGAAGUUUUCUCAAUCAAGAAUACAAAACAAGCAAUUGUAAUAACUAGCAGCCAACAUUGACAAUUUUUUAAGAUAAACAAACCAUUAGAUAGUCUUUUGGCAUCAUAAUGAUGUAAUUGGAAAAAUCCAUGAAACCACCAUUUCCACUUGCAUCAGAUCCUAUAAUCUAAGCAUUGAGCCUCUAUUUUCAUAUUAAUCUACCAAAUUUAUUGAUGACUUGGAACCCUCUCUAGAAGGGAUAUUUAACUGGGUUAGUUAAAGCGGCUUGCUGGCGCAGAGAAGGAGAGAAGGGGGUUUAUGCUUGAGAUCGUUUAGCAAUUCCAAACUAUUUUUGCAAUUAGGGGUCAUAUGCAUGUUACUCAGGCUAGCGCACUGAAGAAUUGAAAUUAUUUCCAUUCAACCGAACACAAUAAAGAGAAAUUCACAACAGUGGAAAACAAAAGUAAUUGAUAUGCAUGUUCAAGUUGGGAGAUCUAUUUGGGCGUGAUCCCUUUUUUGAGGCGCUUGAGGUGCUUAGCUAACCAUUAACCCUCCCCUGUUGUGAAAUAAACAAAGAAAGAAAGAAAAAAGGCUUUUAAGAUCUUACACUUAACCUCUCACUGUUUGUGCAAUUUGUAACUUGUUUUCAUCAUUGCUUUGUGAGAAUAUGGUGCUGAAAAUAUUUGACACGACUUAUUUAAUUUUAAAGUUUGGCAAAUAAAUAAAUAAAUAUUAUAAAAUAAAGUUUAAUAUUAAGUAAAUAGAAUUUGGCUAGCGUAAGAUGAGGCAUGCACAAAGCACUUUACUAGAGAGGCAAUUGCCCCUCCAUGGCGAGGGUACCUGGCAAAUCGAUGUAGCGAUACUACUCUCCUGGAACUCCUGAAUCUCCUCUGUUGAUACGGCUUAAAAGAAGUGCUAAUUGGGUUGUAUUCCGGCUUUAGGGGGUCUCAGUUGUCUAAAUCUUGAUAUAAAAUUGAAGAAAGUAUAUUUAUACUAGCAAAGAAGAUGAAAGAGUUUUUUGGAUGAAGAGGUGAAGGCUUUCUGCCUCCAUAGGCCUCUCCAAUCUCCAAUCAAUAAUGGUUUAAAAGAUGUUAACGUUGAAAUAUACUUCUUGUUCAUUAUGCUGGCUUGAAUUAAGGAGUAAUACCCUCUAAUAUUCCUCCAUUAUUUUAAGCUAUUGCCCCGGCCAUGUAUUAGAUUGCAUGCUUGGUUCAAAAGAUUAUCCUGGCUAAUAAAUAGCUUGAAAGCCUUUCUUCAUCAGACAGAGAUGUAGUACAUGGGCCAGAGUAUCCUACGUUCCACAAAACAAGAUUGAAUUUGGAGAGAAGAGGGAACAUUUUUGGCCAUUGAGAAGUAUGAUGUGUUUGAGAAUGAGGUGUUAUAUGUUCUUGUAUGGUACACUAGUGGAACAAUGAUAGAAGGGGAUCAAGUUAACAAAGUGAACCAAUAUUGAGGGGGUUGAGUGUUUUUCUUUCUUUUAGCCUGUUUUUAUAGUAUUAAGUUGAAAUGCUUCUAAUAGCACCAAGGAAUUGGUGUUUGUGAGUUUUUAGCUCUUGGAUCCAAGACUUUGGCCAUCGGAUUGGAAGUUAAAAAUGGUGGCUAAUAAUAGGCUGCCUAUUGUGCAUGACCCGAGGGCCAAAAAGUUAGAUCCAAGGGCCAAAAAAUGACAAGCACCAAAUGCUUGGUGCCAUUAGAAGCAUACAAGCCAAACUCAUAUUUAUAUAUCGGUUAUGUUAUGUAUUUAUCAUAUUCGUAUCUAAAUAACAUAUACCGCAUAGUUGGUAACAAAGUAGUAAACACCCUCUGUGAACUCAUCCCUACUAAAUUAUCUAGAUAUCUUCUGAGCUUAUUCAUAAUCACCAUUUUUAAGUCUCAUUAGUACAUGUAUACCUUCUAUGGCGUGACUAUUAACUCUUCUUUACUUUGCACUUCACAAGGAUGUAAUGAGGAGAUGGUCCUCUUCUUUUUUUUUUCUUUUUUUUUUUUCUUUUUUUGAGGAAUUUACAUCCAAAUCAUCGGAUCAGUGUGAGUAUAAAAAGAUUCCUAUUUACAAACUAGACUCUUGAAUGUUAGAUAAGAAAAAGCUUUUCUAUUGCUAUCAAAAGCCAUUUAAAGUUUACUAUUUCUUUUGUCUCCUUCCAAUAAUGAGAAUAUGUGGCCUUUCCAGAUUUUUUGCUGUCUAGCGGAUCAAAUUGAUCGCAAUUGCUGCAAGAUCAUUCUCCAAGAUCUUUCCUAUUUCUUUGAGCUUAUAUAUCAGAAAUGCUGAUUUACUGCAGGUCAAUAAGAACAAGUCAAGAGUUGCAAAAUAAAUUGAAUUUGGAAGGAGGGGGCGAAACAAAUGAACAUUGUUUCUCAUUUAUCGAGCUUCUGAUUCUUAUUUUCCAAUCAGCACUGCAAUGCAUAAACCAGUAGAAAGGUCAUGUUUAAAUUAGAGUAUAAUAUGUUUACAUAAAUGCAUAGUAGCAAUAAUUGAACUUACAAUUAUAGUUUGUGUAUUAUAAAGCUUAAUGCCAGGCUUUUUUUGCAAUUGGCCCCCUGGAAAAAAUUAAUUUUAAAAAUAGCCCAAGUAAUUUUAUAUUUGCAAAAAUGGCCCUAGCUCUGCUAUGCAGGCGUCACGUUAGCGCCAUGCGGGCAGGACUGGGUUAAGAUAGUUAAGUUGAAUACGGUGAAUUAUUCAUUGUGUCUAAACAGGGUGAAUGGUUCACCGUGUUUACUAUGUGACUUACAGCAAUACUGGUGGACUUGGUGGAUAUACGAAGGGCGCAGACUUAGUGGAUAUACGAAGGGCGGGGGUAAUACAUUAAACAUGGGAAACCGUUUACCGUGUCUAGACACGGGGAACAGCUCACCGUGUUGAGACACGGUGAAUGGUUCACCGUGUUCAGUAGAGUUACAGCACACUUACAAUUAGCUUUGCACAAUAAACGACUGAAAUGCAACAUCAACAACACAACAACAAAUUCAAUAUAACAAUACAAGAAAUUCAACAUCAACAAUACAAUAACAAAUCCAACACAACAAUAAAUCCAACAGAACAUCAAUAGACACGGAUACCAUAUCAUCACAACAGAAUAUCAAAAAUUAAAACAAGUUUUUCAACAAUAUAGAAAGUUCGAUGUAAUUUAAAAUUUACAAAAAUAUAAUGUCAUGUUCUCCUCUUAGUCCCUCGACCACGUCUACCUACACAUCCCCUACCACGACCGCGACCGCGACCACGAUCAACAGCAUGCUCAUCAAAAAGGCUUUAUGAUCUCUAACUAAUUGAGAUGUUCGAUAACAGCACCCUCAAUAACUGGCUGAGUGUUCUGCGUCUCGACCACCCGUCUGAUCUCGUGCUCUAUCAUAGCAGGUGUCGGUAGUAUGUCUGGUCGUGGAGGAGCUGAAGAGGAGGGCUGAUCUGUAUGGAGAGACUGUAACUGCCGUCGGCACGUACGAUAAACAAUAUCAACUGGUCGAGAUGGAUCCUCUGGUACUGGUGCUAGUACUGGUGCUGGUACUGUGUCUGGAUGAUAAGGUGGCUCCUUUAUCGGUGAAGAUGGUCUCGGUGGACUAUACAAUGGUAUAUGGCCCGACAUCGAUGAUCCACCAUGUUCUGCUGGCCAUGGAGGUACAGUGUGUGAAAGCGUAGGUAAAGUCUCCAAAAUUGAUUCCAUUUGAUCGGCAACCUGUGAUAGAGCUUCUAAUACUCCACCAUAUAGAAUGUCUAGUAGGACACGUCUAAUUGUAUAAUGUAAUCUCUGCACGAUAUCAAGCUGAAAUAAAAAUACUAUCAUAAAGAUUACACUAAACUUUCUUUAUAAAUAAAAAUAAAUAUAAAGAGAUAUUAUAUAUUAAAAUCAUACCAAUACUCUCUCGACGUGACCACAUGGCUGAUACGCGAGGGGUGUCUGCUGUACUGGCCUAGAUAUCCACCUUUUGGUGAUCCUCCAAUACCAUUGCAUGUAAACAGUGGUAGCUCGUAUAGUAUCUGGAUCUAUCUCAGGGUCCACUUCUACUAUAUCCAUCAAUCUAUCAUCCCAACGCUGAAUAUAUGAAGCAUGAUACGCCGCCCAAUUUUUAUCUGCUCUACCUCAUGAAGUGAUGCGAGAUAUGGCAAAUACUGCUUCAUGUAUAUGCUGUAACAGACUAAACUGCCGAAACACACGAUCUGGAAGAAGCAGCUCAAUAAUAUUGAAGCAGACUAAGGUGAGUCCUAAAUCGCCAAAGCUGGAAGCCCGCUAGACAAAAAGGUGAGAGCGCCUCUAAUACUGUAUCUAUUUAAGGCCUCCAUGUAAUCUAUUGUGAAAAAUACAUAUGCUUACUUACCCAAAUGUUUAAAAUAUAGUGUGCAGUUAUAAUAAGAUUGAGUUACUUUCAUUUACUUAAGACUCUAGUUGUUGAUCAAGCUGAUCACGAUAAAACUCAAUAUCAGUAGUCCUGACAUUGUCCCGAGAAACUAGCCUAGUAUGCCACUUAAUUCAUUUAUAUUAUAUUAGUCAUGAUUAAAUAGUAUACAGAAAACUUAAAAUGAAAAAAAUUCUUACCUACACCCUAGUGGCAUGUUGACAAGCUUAGACUGCGGUCCAACUAUCUCAGAGCGGCCAAUGUGCAGGUGGUCUCAUGCCCAUAUCUAUACAAAAAGAUAGUUAGAAAUUACAGUAAAAACCAUGACUUAUUUAGUGCUAGUAAGGCAAUGUACUUGAAGUAAUAUCCCGAAACAACAACACUCUACCUUCCCCCUCAUGCAAACAUUUCCUAAUGCCUGAUAUAGAUGAGCUAAUGCAGCUACACCGCAUGCCAACUCACCGCAGAUAUCAAAAUCCUCUAACAGUGGCAACCAUUUCAAAUGCACUCUAUUCCCGCUUAGAUUUGGCAACAAACUACAUCCUAUCAUAAACAAUAUAUAUGCUACAAUAGCAGGAGGUGCAUCUAGGGCGAUAUUAUAAAAAUGAUGGUAUAACCGGUCUAUCUUUAUCUCACCGCCCCUAAUAUCCUCAGGAAUCACCUCAAGAAGUAGCUUGCAGAGCUGUGGCCACUGAUAUGAUGCCCCUCCGGUCACAGCCCCACUAUGGACGCAGAGUCCAGUAAUAAUAGCGACGUCCAUUAAAGUAAUAGUCAUCUCUCCGUAUCGCAUAUGGAAAGUCUGCGUCUCUCUCCGCCACCUCUCGACUAAUGAUCCCAAUAAUGAGUGAUCUAGCUGUAGGCGCCGCAAUCGCGAUACAUAAUAAAAUCUUGCUCGUCGCAAUAGGUCCAAAACUGUAGGAUGCUCAAUUUGCCAUCGGUUCAUUUUACGGCUAUGCUCCGUGAAUUGAAUAGGAGAAUAACCCUGCAUGAUUGUGAAUGUCAGAUCAAUAUUAGUAUAUAGUUUAUAAGUAAAUUUCAAAUGUUUAAAAAAACAUCACCUCUUUUCUAAUCAAAGUGGAUCUAUGGUAUGGCUGCUCAGUCAGCACGGAUGUAUCGAUCGGUCCGGGCUCCUCAUGAUCGUCCAUCUGAAAUAGUCAAAUAAAAUCCGUGAGAAAUAAAAGGAUGUAAUAUGAGUACAUAAGCAUAAAAUAAAAAAAAAAUGAAGUUUAAUUUUCAUAUAAAAAAAUAUAGCGACGACAUCUCUCGGUCCUUCUUUGCUGAUUUUCAGGACGUGUUUUAUAAUGAUCAGGCUGUUUACAUAUACUACACUUGCCCCUCCUAUUUCCAGCGCCUUCGUCCAUAACAUUACGGAUACGCGUAGAUUUGGAUCGUCCCUUUUUCCUUCUCCCGUGUGGUGAAAGUAUAUGUGAAUCAUAUGACUCGAUCCAAUAACGACGAUCGGGAACGGGGUGGAACUGCGGUUCAUAAGCGUUACGAUAGGAUGCGGCGAACACGGUGAACGAUUCACCAUGUGGUUUAGGGUUUAGGGUUUAUAAUUACACAGUGAAUCGUUCCCCGUAUUCGCCGCAUCUUAUCAUAACGCUUAUGAACUGCAGUUCCACCCCGUUCCCGAUCGUCGUUAUUGGAUCGAGUUAUAUAAUUCACAUAUACUUUCACCACGCGGGAGAAGAAAAAAUGGACGAUCCAAAUCUAUGCGUAUCCGUAAUGUUAUGGACGAAGGCGCUGGGAAUAGGAGGGGCAAGUGUAGUAUAUGUAAACAGCAUGAUCAUUAUAAAAACACGUUCUGAAAAUCAGCAAAGAAGGAUCGAGAAACGUCGUCGCUAGGUUUUUUUAUAUGAAAAUUAUACUUAACUUUUUUUUUAUUUUAUGCUUACGCACUCAUGUAACAUCCUUUUGUUUCUCACGGAUUUUAUUUGACUAUUUCAGAUGGACGAUUACGAGGAGCCGGGAUCGAUAGAUACAUCCGUGCUGACUGCGCAGCCACACCAUAGAUGCACUUUGAUUAGAGAGGAGGUGAUGUUUUUUUAAACAUUUGAAAUAUACUUAUAAACUAUAUACUAAUAUUGAUCUGACAUUCACAAUCAUGCAGGGUUAUUCUCCUGUUUAAUUUACGGAGUAUGGCCGUAAAAUGAACCGAUGGCAAAUUGAGCAUCCUACAGUUUUGACCUAUUGCGACGAGCAAGAUUUUAUUAUGUAUCGCGAUUGCGGCGCCUACAGCUAGAUCACUCAUUAUUGGGAUCAUUAGUCGAGAGAUGGCGGAGGAGAGACGCAGACUUUCCAUAUGCGACACGGAGAGAUGACUAUUACUUUAAUAGACGUCACUAUUAUUACUGGACUCUGCGUCCAUGGUGGGGCUGUGACCGGAGGGGCAUCAUAUCAGUGGCCACAGCUCUGCGAGCUACUUCUCGGAGUGGUUCCUGAGGAUAUUAGGGACGGUGAGAUAAAGAUAGACUGGUUAUACCAUGAUUUUCAUAAUAUCGCCCUAGAUGCACCUCCUGCUAUUGUAGCAUAUAUAUUGUUUAAGAUAGGAUGUAGUUUGUUGCCAAAUUUAAGCGGGAAUAGAGUGCAUUUGAAAUGGUUGCCACUGUUAGAGGAUUUUGAUCUCUGCUGUGAGUUGGCAUGGGGUGUAGCCAUUAACUCAUCUAUAUCAGGCAUUAGGAAAUGCUUGCCUAAGGGGGAAGGUAGGGUGUUGUUGUUUCGGGAUAUUACUUCAAGUACAUUGCCUUACUAGCACUAUAUAAGUCAUGGUUUUUACUGUAAUUUCUAAACUAUCUUUUUAUAUAGAUAUCGGCAUGAGACCACCUGCACAUUGGCUGCUCUGAGAUAGUUGGACCGCAGUCUGAGCUUGUCAACAUGCUACUAAGGUGUAGGUAAGAAUUUUUUUCAUUUUAAGUUUUCUAUAUAAUAUUUAAUCAUGACUAAUAUGAUAUAAAUGAAUUAAGUGAAAUACUAGGCUAGCUUCUCGGGACAAUGUCAAGACUACUGAUAUUGAGUUUUAUCGUGAUCAGCUUGAUCAACAACUAGAGUCUUAAAGUAAAUGAAAGUAACUCAAUCUUAUUAUAACUGUACAUUAUUUUUUAAACAUUUGGAUAAGUAAGCAUAUGUAUUUUUCACAAUAGAUUACAUAGAGGUCUUAUACAGAUACAGUAUUAGAGACGCUCCCACCUUUUUGUCUAGCGGGCUCCCAACUUUGGCGAUUUAGGAUCACCUUAGAUUGCUUCCAUAUUAUUGAGCUGCAUCUUCCAGAUCGUGCGUUUCGACCGUUUGGUCUGUUACAGCAUAUACCUGAAGUAGUGGUUGUCAUAUCUCGCAUCACUUCACGAGGUAGAGCAGAUAAAAAUUGGGCGGCGUAUCAUGCUUCAUAUAUUCAGCGUUAGGAUGAUAGAUUGAUGGAUAUAGUAGAGGUGGACCCUGAGAUAGAUCCAGAUAUUAUACGAGCUACCACUGUUUACAUGCAUUGGUAUUGGAGGAUCACCAGAAGGUGGAUAUCUAGGCCUGUACAGCAGACACCUCUCGCGUAUUAGCCACGUGGUCACGUCGAGAGAGUAUUGGUAUGAUUUUAAUAUAUAAUAUCUCUUUAUAUUUAUUUUUAUAUAUAAAGAAAGUUUAGUGUAAUCUUUAUGAUAGUGCUUUUUUUCAAGUCAAUAUCGUGUAGAGAUCACAUUACACGAUUAAAUGUGUCCUACCAGAUAUUCCAUAUGGCGGAAUAUUAGAAGCCCUAUCACAAGUUGCUGGUCAAAUGGAAGCUGUUUUGAAGACUUUAUCUACGCUUCCACACAUUGUACCUUCCACGGCCAGCAGAAUAUUGUGGACCAUCGACGUCGGGCCAUGUAUCAUUGUAUAGUCCACCGAGGCCAUCUUCAUCAAUAGAGGAGCCACCUUAUCAUCUAGACACAGUACCAGUACUAGUACCAGAGGAUCCACUUCGACCAGUCGAUAUUGUUUAUCGUAAGCGCAGACAGCAAUUGCAGUCUCUCCAUACAGAUCGGCCAUCCUCUUCAACUCCUCCACGGCAGGACAUACUACCGAUACCUGCUAUGAUUGAGCACGAGAUCAGACGGGUGAUCGAGAUGCAGGACACUCAGCCAAUUAUUGAGGGUGUUGCUAUCGAAUAUCUCGACCAGUUGGAGGCCGUAGAGUCCUUUGAUGAGUAUGGUGUUAAUCGUGAUUGUGGUCGUGGUAGGGUACGUGUAGGUAGACGUGGUUGAGGGAUUAGGAGGAGAACAUGACAUUAUAUUUUUGUAAAUUUUAUUACACCGAACUUUUUAUAUUGUUGAAAAACUUGCUUUAAUUUUUGAUAUUAUGUUGUGAUGAUAUGGUAUCCGUGUCUAUUGGUGUUCUGUUGGAUUUGUUGUUAUAUUGUUGAUGUUGAAUUUUUUGUAUUGUUGUAUUGAAUUUGUUAUUGUAUUAUUGAUGUUGUAUUUCAGUUGUUUAUUGCGCAAAACUAAUUGUAAGUAUGUUGUAUCUCUACUGAACACGGUAAAUCAUUCACCGUGUCUAGACACGGUAAACGAUUCCCCGUGUCUAGACACGGUGAACGAUUUCUCGUGUUUAAUGUAUUACCUGCACCCUUCGUAUAUCCACAAAGUCUGCGCCCUUCGUAUAUCCACCAGUAUUGUUGUAAGUCACAUAGUAAACACGGUGAACGAUUCACCGUGUCUAUACACGAUGAACCAUUCACCGUGUUUAGACAUGGUGAAUGAUUCAUCGUAUUCAACUUAACUAUCUGGCCCCUGCCCCGCCCGCAUGGUGCUGACGUGAUGCUUGCGUGGCAGCACUAGAACCAUUUUUGCAAAUAUAAAUUUGGUAGGACUGCAAAUAUAAAUUUGGUAGGGCUAUUUUUAAAAUUAAUUUUUUUCAUGGGUCCAGUUGCAAGAAAAUUCCCCAGACAAAUUAUUGCCUCCAGCACUGGAUUUAUUGGAUUUAUGUAGCAGUCCGCCGUGCCUCCGUCUGUGCAUCACAAGAUCAUGAUCCAACUAUACUGCAACUUAUCAGACGGUGUAGAAUGAAUUAUCAAAUGUGAGAAGAGUAUAUAUAGAGAGAUAAAGAUGCAACCACUGGAUACAGGUGAUAAUUUUGUGACGCAAGUUGCAAGAUUAGGCUGCAUAAUAAAAGUUUUCAGACACUGGAUUAAUCAUGUUCAAACGAUCGUUCAAGUUGUCCAUCUGUUUUGCUGGAGUUAUUUGAUUGCUGGAUAUUGCUUCAGUGAAUGUGUGUUGUAUGCUAGAGUCAAAGUUUGUACUAUGAUAUUUUACAGAAACAAACUGUCAAACAUUGAGUGACUUAGGGCCUGUUAGUUUUUGUGGAUCUGAGGGUGAACUUGUGACUUCAAGAAAGUUAUAGAUAUCGGCAUUUGUUUCAACAAUGAUGUCACAAGAUUACUCGUACGUCCACUCACAAUUGUACAGAGAGCACAGAGAUCGGCCUUCCGACUUCUAUAGGGUGGGAGGUGAGGUUGAAUUCAUGAAACUCGUUAAGUUUCUCAGUUUCUGACCUCCCGCUUUCAAACAGCUGCUGCUUUGUGUAGUAUGAGAUUUUCACAUAUAUAAAUUAAUCAUUUAAAACCACUGGAAUAGCUGGCACAAUUCUUGAAGGCCUGAAAUUCUUGCUUCUAUGUCUGUCUAGCCGUUGAUGCUCGCCACUGUGAUACUGCUAGUGUCGCAUGAGGAUGAGGCUGCACAAUGGUUGACAGCAAGGAUUUAAUUGCCGUGACAAAGGAUCGUGCCGGCACAGUGCGGUACGAUGCGUGCCAGUUAAAAAAAAUUUUGUAUACCGACACAUAAUAGUAUGAAAUAUUUAUUUUCUUUAGCAAUAAAAUAUUUUAACUAUUUAUUAUGUUUUUUUAUCAUAUUUUUUAAACUUUAUUGAGAAAAUUACUUACUUUUUAAAGAAUAGAAGAUUUUGAGCUGUGCUAUCGGCACGAGAUCUAUAUCGUGCCAGUGUUUUAUUGGCACGGUAUGGUGGAUACGGCCCGUCCCGACGAGUACUUAAAACCCUGAUUGACAGCUGCUACUUCCAUUCGCUGAUGGUGUUUUAUUCUCACUUUGCCCCCAUGUGGUUUAAAAUGUAUCAAUUUACCCCGUGGUUUAUUUUUUCUCUUUUUCUUAUCAAUUUCAUUAUUUUUUUUUCUUAAAUCAAUGAUAAAGUUAAAAUUAAAGGGUACUAAAAUGAAUAUUUGAUAAAUCUUGAUGAGUAUCUGAAGUUUUUUGUAUAUAAUUUAAUGAAAUAUUAACGAAAAAGCUACCGAAAAGAUAAAAACGAAACCACAGGGAGGCAAAUUGAUACAUUUUAAACCACAGGGGGGCAAAGUGAGAAACUACGAAACCACAGGGAGGGUUUUUGAAGUUUUCCCAAAAAAAAAAACAUGCAAAAGAAACGCUCGGUUAACUGUGUCAUAUUUUUUUGCAUUCACAUGUUCAUUUAAAACGUAAUGUCCAAAUUCAAAGCACCACGGGAAGAAAGCAUAGGUAAGGUGACACCUCGUCAUAAUAGAAGUCUCUUGAGCAUAAAACUAUGUGAAGUAGUAGACUCAUCGAGCUCUUAAAGAGAGCGGCGAUAACCGCGUAAUUGGAUUAUAGGUCAUACCAAGCACCAAGAGAGAUUUCUAUUUUCGGACCGAAUUAACUUGAUAGCAACCGCAACUUGAGCAAGCUCCUCGAAUGGAUGCGGUAAUAAGCUUCUCGGAGUGACCGACAACCACAUCGACAUUGAAACAGUAAGUCGGCCCAAAAAUGUCUUCUCAUAGUCCUCGCAUGUUUACUUGGCCUCCACCUAGUCGGAAGAAGAGGUUUCGUAAAUACAGAAAUACAAGUCAGCCCAUGUGAGGAAGCAUUUCUAGUACUUUGCAAUUACAGAAUUUCUCAAUGAAAUGUACAAGUUAGCCUUUGUCUCACAUCGCUUGUAUUUUUUGUUUCACUAAACUCAAAUUCUAUAUAAUUAAAUGCGUCGUCUGAGCAUCUGAGCAUCUGAACAUACUUCUCGACUCUUAUUAUCGUUAGUUAGCUUCGAAAUACCAUAUUUCUGAAGGAAAAGAGAAGGGAACCUCAUAAAUGUAUCCAGAACAUCCAAACAACCUUUUAGCUUAUCAACAUCCGGAGAAACUCUUGAUGCACAUUUGGCGUGGCUUCUAGAAUAGCUUCCCUAUUCCGAAAGGUAACAGUACCGUUUGGCAGACAAACUUCAAGAGCUUUGGCUGUCACAAGAAGCUAAAAUGAGCUCCUAUGCCCAAUAAGCAGAAGCUCCUAUUUAAGCUUCUGCUUUUGCUGUAUCCAGAAACUAUUGCAGGAAUUUUAAUGAAAAGGCUGUUAAUGCUUCAGACAGCUAUAAACUGGAAGUAGGCCGAAGAGGCUAUGAGUGUUUGGUAUUAUACUGAUUGGCCUCAAUAUGUGCAUAGAGAUCUGCAAUGGAGUACCUAAGAAGCCUGGCAAGAUUUAAUUUCACACCAAACUUACACUACUUUGAAAAGGUUCGACUAGAGAUAAGAGUUCCUUUCUAGUGAUUAGGGCUUACUGCUAUGGAUGAUGGUGACAGAUUUAAAUGCCAUACAUUCCUAAUGCAAUAAUUACUGGCAAAUGCUCUGAAUAUCAGACAUCGCAAGGAAGAAACCCGUGUUCUUAUCAGAAAAAGGGUACUUGUGUGCAUCUGCUCAAGAAUUCGCGACGUUACAAUAUAGUGUUCGCUUAAAAUAUAAAGAUGAGGAAAGAAACUAUGUACCUUUAAGCUCUUUUUGAGUGCCUUUGAAGUCAUAAAGCUUUGGCGGCCACUGAAACUGAAAAGACUAAUGCAGCUCAUGACUUCAAGGAUAGGUUAGUAAAAAUAAUCUUCAUUAACACUGCAAAACUGCCAACAAAAAUCAGUACAAAGAAGUUAGUUCUUAGAAGUGGUACAAAUAACAAUUGCCACGCUUGCAGAUGCACUGAAAUAACAUAUAUGCUUACCCCCUCUCAUCAGAAACCAGUCCAAAACUUCAACUCAUGAAUGUAUACAACACCAUCGAGUUCUAAGCUGGUCUCACUUGGAAUCCCUUCAAAAUACAGAUAAACCCAUAUAUUAAGAAACAUUACAAAGAAAAUGCAGUACAACAGUUGGUUUGAGCACAAAACAAAAUUAUCACAGAAAAAACUCAUUUUCUCUUCGAAUGCAUGAAAGAUAAUUUGCUAACUACCCAAGCAGGAAGAAAAGGGUAUAAGCCCCUAAAAAUGGAGAGAGAACUCAGCAUCUGCCAAUGGCUGACCCUACACUCUUGUUGUUUUUUUUAAGAACAAAAACAAAAGGUCAAAUUUCAUAGCCCCAACUAAAACAGGCAUGAAUAGAAGAAAGAAGCUUAUGGAAUUAGACAGCAUUGCAACAUGAAAAAGGCAGAAAUAGAAAAGCCGGUCAACAUUUUCUAGAGAUAUGGUAAGGAAUACCAACAUAAACUUUACGAAUGUUUUCACUUUCUAUACUGUACUUUUUGCCAAAAACUCCAUUUAACUUACACAUUUUAUAGCCAUUUCUCCAUUGAUGAUAACAAACAAUAGCUAACAUCAAGUAUGGUUAACAGCAAUUUAAAAUUCUCUCUCGUUAGGCUACUACUCCUCCUCUUAACCAACAAAUAUCUUCUAUUCCAGUCGUCACUAGGCAGAGACAAAUAGAAAAACCCUUUAUCUAAGUUAGAAAUCUUUUGGAUUUGAGUCUAUCAACACUAUUUUUUUACUACAAUGCCCACAGGAAAGUUCAUUCACAGAGAAUCGUGUAAUUUCCAAUUCCCUAGUUUUACUCCACAAUCCACAUUGUUGCUUCUCUUCAAAUUUUCCCAAUUGAGAAAAUUUAGGAUCAAUUAGCUGUCACAUCACAUCUUAUAUAAGUUUCAAGAUACAAAUCAAUGCUGUAUUCAGCGAACAUACUCCGUUUCUAUUAAAAUUCUAUCAUCUAUUAAUCACUGCAGAAAUUACAUUACAGUGUAGAAAGAGAAGACACUCCUGAAGUAGUUUAGUAAAGCAUAAUUAAGUGAUAUUACCAAAUAACAAGGAAAACAUUCCCUGUGAUCAAUUUACAAAUUGUUUUUAUCUACGAAUAUAAAGCAGAAGAUAUACAUGAGAAUUUUUAUAUCUAGAGUUUAGAUCCUGAGAGAGGCGCAUUAUGACAUGCUAACACAUUUCUACGUAGAUAAUAUACGGUAGCUCAACACAAAGGCAUGCAAUAUUUUCUCCUACAGUAAUAAAUGAAACAAAUUAAAUCUAUAUAUAAUAUACAGGUAUCCCAACCAAAGAUCAAUGAACGCUGAUUAGCCAUCACAUAAUUGCUACAGAAAAGAAAAUGACGUCGAGACUUGAAAUGCAUUGCUUAAUAAGAAAGGCAUGAAGUGCAUUUAAAAAAAAUAAAUAAAUAAAAUAUCUGUAACCAGGAAAGAAACUUACCACCACAUAAGAUUACGAAGAUCAUUAGCUUCAAGCAGUACCAUACACAAAUAUAUUUCCUAGAAAAUAGCAAGCUCAUGUUAAGGCAUAUGAUAUGAAGAAACUGAAUUAUGCAACUUAGCAUAAUAAUACAAAAGAAAAAGGAAGAGCAGUAAAAAAAAAAAAAAGAAAGAAAAAAAAUCACUUUUUUGAAAAGUUCCAAUUAAGAACAAUAUCUUGUAUUACCUUGACCAAGAACUAGAACUGCAUUUGAUGAUAUAGGAACAAUGUCCCGCACCUUUUCGCUCACAAAGAUUGCUUCAAUAGCUAAAUGAGAACAAAAAAUAGUUUGAAUGAAUAGACUUAGAAAGAAAUUUACAGCUACAUGAGAACAAAAACAAUAUCCAUUAUAUGCAGUAGAUUAAUCAUCAUGCAUGCAACAAGCAAGUUAUGUGUGUGUGCUAUAGCAGUAAAUUCGAAAAAAAAAAAAAAAAAAAAAAAAAAAAACACUAAUAAGCUAAUCCUUUGAAAUAGCUAGCAGGUUAAGAAACUUCAUAUGACAUGUUGGCAGAGUCUAGUGUAGAGUGAUGUUUUACAAAUGAUUAAGGGAGCAUACGAUAUACUUUCAUAUUAUAUAGCCUAUAACAAUUUUAACGAAUAGAAAUGCUCGCUGAACAUAGCAAAGACCUGAGAUCUGAAUCAUUGUCGACUUUCUUUCUUCUUCUACAUUUCCACCAACAGAAUAUUCAAUAUCAGAUAAUGACAUCAUAUGCACUGUAUGCGCACCAUCUGAUACCCAAACCACUUGCGUCUCUGAAGAAGCACAGUAAGAACAUCUAUAAUGAAGUAUUAAACAGAUAAAAAUAAAUUUGUAGACAAUGAUGGGUAAAAAUGUACGAAGAGCUUCAACAGUAGACCGCCAUGAAACAAAACCCCCAGAUUUAUCGGAUUAUUUUUCAAUGAAGGUCCUCAAUUUCUUAUUUUCAUUUAAAAUAAUUUUGGUAGCUGAAUUGGGGAUUUUGUUAACAUAACAGCUCCAAUAGUUUUCAGCCAUCAUCAGUUAACAAAAACCCAUAAUUUCAUUGUGAAAAGCAGUCAGAGCCGUUAAAUUUCACAAAAUUGUUUUAACAUUAACAGAAUCCCCGAUUCAAUUUUAGGGUGUAACUCGAAUUAAAAAUCAUAAACUGAGGGGGUUUCUAUCAAAAAACAGGGGUGUCUAUAUCAAAAUGGUCUAUAAUUGAGAGGGUCUUUGUACAUUUUUACCCAACAAACUAGAGCAUACUUGCAGAGGUAUUGGGAAGAACAGCCAAUAGUUGAAUUUUCAUGGGAUGAUCCAAACGAUAUGUAUGAGCUUCUUUGGAAGUUAGGGAGCACUGAUCUGUGAUGCCUGAUGGCACAGCCUUAUUACGCAGACUUAGAACGUGCAAAUCUCCAACAGAAUCCAGUAUCAAAAAUUUGUUCUUUGAUAGUGCAUGGACAGAAACUGCUUUUGCAGAUGCCAGAACUCCCGUACCAUUUUUUUGCUUUUGGACACUAGCGCAAUUCAUUGCCACGAGGAAUGAGUAUGAAUUUUCUGAAUUCUGUUUGAUUCGCAACAUCUUGAGCUUAACUGCAGGAUGAAAAUGAAGACCAAGAGCUAUAGUUUCAUAAAUAUAAAGUUUGUGUCAACAUUUCUAAAGAGCUUACCUGCAGCAGUGAAAUAUAUAUAUAUAUAUAUAUAUAUAUAUAGAGAGAGAGAGAGAGAGAGAGAGAGAGAGAGAGGCGCCUGUAAUUUCGCAAGUACGGAGGCCUCCGCGCUUGUAAAUUGUUUUCGAUGAUAGGACAUCCGAUUCAACAAUCGGUUCCAUUAGACAUUAUUUACAGUGUUGGAACUAUCUAGAAACCAAAUUUCAUAAUUUUUUUAACUUCGUUUGCUUAGUGAACGAGUAGUCUCAAAAUAAACGGCUGAAAAUAAAAAUCUCAUAAAAAAUAGUGAUAAAAGACUCAAAGGUCAAAUCAGAAGUAUUAGUCUUGCUCUUGAUGUUCGUAGAAUUUUCUAUUAAAAUUUCAUAUAAUUUGAUUGUUCUACGCCAUUGAACUUACAAACAUACCACAUUGGCUGUGAAAAUAGUCAUUUUUUAGACCCUUUGAUUACUUAGUAAAUGAUGUCGAAAAAUUAUGAAAUUUGGUUUUUAAAUAGUUCUAAUAGUGUAGAUCAUGCCUAACGGAGCCGAUCCUCAAAUCGGAUGUCGUAUCAUCGAAAAAAUUUACAAGCACAGAGGCCUCCAUGCUUUCAAAAGCACAGGAGACGUACUCUAUAUUAUAAGUUAAUCUAAGAUAGAGUACGCCAAGUUAAUCUAUUGAUAUAAUAUCACGGUUUCUAUUGAUAUAAUAUCACAGUUUCAAAAGCACAUUGGGCUGCAUUCACAGUUUCUAUUGAUAUUAAAGUUUCAUAUAUAUAUAAGUUAAUCUAAGAAAAGGAAGGUAAUCAAGCUUAUUUACUUAUAUGUUGUUUUCCGAGAACUAGGCUACAAGGCUGAUCAAUAGAAACCGUGAAUGCAGCCCAAGUUUUAUUAGAAUUCUCUUUAGCUUGUUUAAAGAACAUUUUCCCCCUGUUUCUUAGUUGGGUUUUUGUUAGUACUAGUUAGAUCAUUUAAUGUGUAAUGAGGUAACCUUUUUUGCUUCAUUGCAUGAUGUGUCAGCUUCGAAGAUGAGGGGAUCUUCUAUCUGUGGGAUCUUUUAUUGCUUUGGAUCGAUUCCAAUUUGAUUUUUUAAUGUAUUUGAUAUCUAAAUCGCUAUUUUAAACUAUUUGGGGCUCAAUUUGAAGUUUAAAAGUGGUUCCAAAUAUAUCUAUUCUCUGUUUCUGAUUAUUCGAUGCUAUUCGCACUUAAUUUCGUUUAUCCUACUGUUUUCCUGAGCAACUGAGAAAGACUUGAUUUACUGCUCUUUGAUUCACUGGCUUUAAAUACCAUCCUAAUCUAAUGAGGAUAUGCAUUUAGAGCCUUUAUCAACCAUUUGCCAUUUAAAUCUGUUGCAGACCCCACGUUUUCACAUACAUCUGAACUGGUUUUAUUUCAUUCUAUUGCAAUAGCUCUUUAUUUCCUUGAGGUAGAAUUGUAUGCAAGUUACCUGAACUUCAGGCCAUUGGCAGACAAGUGAACUUUAAAAGUUUGCACUUCAAUACCUAAACUUUCUAAAUUUCUUCUUUUAGCAACUACGUACUACUACAAAAAGUUGCAGAUAUACAUUCGGUGUAUUAGCACAUCGCUACACCAGAAUGCCAACUGCCCUUCAUCCCAUCUCAUACUUCAAAUCAAAUGAUCUAGAUUUUAAUAAAGAACAUUUGCAAUGAGGUUGGCAGAAGAGACUGAAGUUUGAGAUGAAAAGAAGGCAGACAACAUAGUGGUGUAUGAUGUACAGAUGGACUGGGUGCAAGCAAAAAUUUUGGAUUUGUUGGUGACUUCGAGAGGUACCAUAAUGAUAAUGUAAGAAAGGUGAGGUAUUGAAAUACAAUCUUUUGAAACUCAGGUGCCUAUUUGCACAUGACCCAAAAUUCAGAUAGCAUUUAUACAUUUUCACUUUUCCUCAAUUAGCACCAGUCACCCAAUGUUAGCUCCAUGUUGAUACGCAUCAGACUCCUACUUUCCUUUCUGUAACAACCCUAGUAGGACUGCCCCCCGCCUUUUCUGUAAUCCUAUUUGGAAAGUAACAGAUUGCCAUACAGCCCUGCACUAAUCAUCUUUUGAGGAGUCUAGAGAAAAAUAGGAAAUAGAACAACCGAUUUUGAGUUUCCAAAAUAUUCUUAUUUUUCUCUUUAUGGAAACCUUUUUCUUUCUCUUUUCUUCUCCCCUUAUCGACAAAAUAAUCCUCUUCAUCGAAUUCUUCCUGUCAACUUCAAUUAAUUUUUUUCAAGAGACUCUAUUCUAUUUUGUCGAUUUUCCAGAGCCUGUUUUCAGGCCUAUUUCACUACCUUCAUAUUUGGAGUUGAUUGGAAUCCCACAUGAGAAAAUUAGCAUACAAUCUUUUGUGAAAAUGAUAACUACAAACACCUUCCAGCUAUUCUUCUAAAAAGCACUCUAUGCAGAGCACCGCAGAAGUCAUAUGCGGCUCAAUAUGUGGUUUGGCUACGUAUGCGUCUUUCUGCAGCCAAUAUGCAUUCUCAUGAGGCCGCAUAAGUGGAUGGUAUAGAAUCUGUGAUCUCUUUUGUUAUUUUGGUUGGGUUCAAAAACUUUAGGGGAUUUUUGCGUUUACUAAAUGAGUAAAAGAGCGACAAAUCGCAAUUAACUAUGACACUAUAGGAGUGAAACUCGUCCCAUCCGUAGUUACACUAUUAAAAAUGAAUUUAGCAUGACUUAUAUGGGUAAUACUUCAUAGUUUUUUGUAUAACAUAUGUUAAUACUUCAUGUGGGAUUCCAAAUAUGUUACUCCACAUGAAGUAAUAGCUUAACCUUUUUUCAGGCCUAUUUCACUACUUUCAUAUUUGCAAUUGCAUAUGUAAGCUUAAUACUUCAAAAGCUAAACCACAUAUACAUCUGCAUAUGCACCAGCUACCGCACAUGUGUUAUGUGGUAGCACAGCUGCCUACAUACCACAUAUCACUUUUAAGAACAUUGCUUCCAACAUUAUAUGCAUCUCGCAUAAAAUGUCUUUCAAUUAAGAACUGUGGAAUUCAAAAUAUUUCAUUUUCCAAUCAUUUUGCCAUUCCAAAAGAUAGAUAAUCAAUAAGCAAGUGAAGCAUAAAUCAGCUUAACACUAGAAACAGAAUUACAUGCAGCUUAAUGAAGUAUCAAAGGACCUUGGUCCAAUCUAACACUGUUUUGGCAUCCAAAUUAUCCUAGAAAAAAGAACUAACAAACAUGCUUUUACUAGUCAGCACAUUUGACUAGUAUGUCAAUAGUAAGAGACAAGGACGAUUUGGAAGUACAAAUCAUACUGGUCUUUUCAUAACACUGUUUUAUACUAGUGGCAAUACCAAGCAAAAACCUAAUCACAGUAUUUGGCAAUCAAGACUUUGUUUUGAGCCCUUAUCUUUUAUGUUUUGAUUUUGGAUAAGCCUGCUAAACCCUUCUGAUGCAGUCAAAAAAAAUCAACUGCUAUUUAAAAAUAUUUUUUAAAUUUUCAAAAUUAUUAUUUUUGUCAAUCUAUUUUAGAGGAAUUUUUUAGAUUUUUAAGAUUUUUCAUGUCGAACAAAUCCUUAAAAAUUAGAUAUAUGGAUUUGGAAGUUUUGAAUUAGAAUUAGAUAUGUUGUAUUAGAAAAUUUUCUAAAAUUAACGGAUUUGAUUAGGAUUAGAAUUAGGGUUUUUUUAUUAUAUAUAAAUUCAAAGGCCUAUUGGAGAGGGAGAGUUUUUGGGUAUGAAAAUUUUAUUUAGAUUUGUGUGUUCUUAUCACUUGUGUGGCCUUAUUCUAGCUUGUGUGGUGUCCCUCUUCUUCUUUCCCUUUCUUCUUGAAUUUAUUCUUCAUUUCUUCCCUCUUUCACCUGCUACUACAGUACCAUAGCCACAGUAAUUGCUACGGUAUUUUUGCCCUCUAUCACCUUCCAACAAGAAGUAUCGAUGCAAAUAAAAUUUUGAUUCUAAACUCCCUCUUGUAGUGUGUAGUGCCAUUUGAUGAAGUGAUUUUUACAUAGUACUAUUAAGAGAAGCACCAUAUUAAAAUUCCCGAGAAGAUUCUUUUUGCAAGAGAAUUUAGAAUUUCUGCUUUUGGGCCUAAAAAUCUCAUUUCAAAUCCUCACUAUACAAGAAGAUCUAGACCUUUCUAUUUAUCAAAUGCUCUACUAGAGAUGACUACAUGUAAGAGGACAAGAAACUAAACAUGCACUUAGAAAAGAAUACAUUUAGGGCACAUUUGACUUGGGAAUUUUAGGCAUGGAUGGAAACCGGAACUAUCGCUCCCAUUCCAAUGGUUUAAUCAGAUAAAAUCCCUUCUGCAACCAUAAUUUAAGUCCUUCCUAUAAGACAGGAAUGAAGCCCCAUUCCAAGGUGGAAUAAGAGUAAUUCAUUCCAGUUCCUACUCCAAUUGUAAACCUAAUAGACUGAAGGUAUUGAUAAUUCCCACUCUACUUCCAAUUCAUUCCAAUUCCGAUUCUAAUUGCAAACCAAACAUGUCCUAACUCCUAUGUUUACGAUUGAUAGGACUAAGAGAAGCAAGGAAGACAGAUUGAAGAUUGAAGGACAAUGCACACUCAUAAGUGAGCAUUAUCGAUAUCUCAGAUCAUUUAUCUGCACAACAAGGAUAAAAAGAAAGAAGUAGAAUAGAAUAAAGCCAGAUGGAUAAUGUGAAAGGGUGAUGUAGGUGAACAAGUACUUUCAAAAGUUAAAACUAAAGAUAGAAUAUAGUGUCCACUCCGCAAUGCUUUAUCAGAUGAAAUGAUGAGCCAAAAUGAAGCAAAAUGCACAUUAAACUGAGAAUAAACUAAGCCUCCCAGGGGCAAGAAAGUUAAGAUAGUUAAUUUGUUAGACAAGAAAGAUAGGAUUAGAAAGUACUAUAAUCACUCUAAAAGAGCAGUUAUUUCAAUUGAGAAUAAGUAAGGAGAUGUCAUUAGGCAUACUGUAACUAUCCCUAUCACCAAGAGUGAAACAUCCCAACAGUAAUGUGAAGAGAAGUAAAGGCAAGCCAGAAUUUUAGAGGUGAUUAUAAACGAUCUAGCCAAAGAGGAAUCAUCUUUGAAAUAAAAAGGAAUCAUCUUUAGAAUAAACCACUUCUAAAUGGCUUGCAUAGUUAGCAAGUUAACAAAUAUCGCACCCAUAAACCUAGAAUUUAGAACAUAAGAUACCGGGGCUUGAAAUUUCAGCAACUCAAACAUGCUCUGUUUAGUUCAUCAAAUUUCGAUAUUGUCAAAAUCCAUACUUCAUUUAGGGCAUGUUUGGUUCGAAGGAUUUGAGGCGUGGAAUGGAAAUUGGAAUGAUCCAUUCCUAUUGUUCGUGUUAGGUUUGAAGGAUUGGCAUUCCAAUUCCUAUUCACGGUGGAAUCAAAUCCCUCUAAAAUGAUACCCACCAUGGAGGUGGGAAUCAACUUUGAUUUCGGAAGGAAGUGAGAAAAGAACUCCCUUUUUUCCACUAACAAUUAUUUCAAUUCAAAUAUUAAUCAUAUAUUUAAUCUAGAAUAAAAUUAGUUAUAAUUUUUAAUUUGAAUUUGAAUUAUGAAUUCAAAUCCACUUUUUAACUUCUUAAGUUGAAAUUUAAAGUCUAAUGUAAGUUUGAUAUUUGUGUAAAUUUAAAUUUUGAUGUUGAAGUUGAAUUUAAAAUAUAAUUUAAAUUUUAAGUUCAAAUCGUGAGUUCAAAUUUGAAUUCAAAUUUUGAUUACGAAUUUGGACGGUAAAUUUAGAAUUUGAUUAAACUUUAAAACUUUUUGAAUUUCAAUUUGAACAUGAUCCAAAAUCAAUUCCUCUUAUAUACCGAACAAAUUAGGAGUUUUCAUCAUUCUGUUUUCAAUUUCAGUCCAUUCUCAUUCCUAUUCCAAUUUCGAUUCCUAUUUAAACCAAACAUGCCCUUAAUGUAUUUUAACAGUUAAUAAGAUAAAAUAUAUAGGGUAAAUUACAUUUUUGGUUCUCAAACUAUAAGAAGUAUGACACUUUUGGUCCUCAAACUUUAAUUUGUUGCAAUUUCUGACUCGAACUUCUUAAAUUGUUAUAAUCAAGUCCCACAAUCCAAUUUAGUUAGCUAUAUGUUGACAAAUUAUUCAUGCAGAAGUUACGUAGAAGUAUUAUGAUUGAUGAUGCGACAACAAUUAAAAUACUAUAGUACUUCUGCAUCAACAAUUUGUCAAAAUUUAGCCCCUUGUGAAAGAAAGAAUUCCGGAACUCCUAACAACCUAAGGCCGGGGUGUGCAAAUUGCCACCUAAUGCCAAAGGGGUGAUUGAUACCUUCGAGCCUAUGGUCGGGAGUGUGCGAAAAGCCACCUAAUGCCAAGGUAAGAGGUAAGAUGAAUGAACUCGCUACCAAUAACUCCGGCGAUCGGGGGUGCUCGGAUUGAUACCUAAUACCAAAGGAUGGAGCGACUUCACAAAUUAUGGACUUAGGGCCGGGGGUGGACGAUAAUCUCGCCACCUAAUGCCAAGAAGAGGAUGGCAGUACUCUGCUAAUGAUUGACUCAAGACUGAGUCGGAUGGUAUAGCUUGGCUAAGGUAAAAGAACCUUAGGAGCGGAUUGGAAAUGCGAUGGAUUGUGAAAUAGAAAGUAGAAGAGGAAUACCUACUUGCGUGAAUUUCAUUAUUGCAUUUAGUUGAGGCAUAAACAUGGAUGUUUAUUUAUUUGCACAUAGGACAGUUAUAUGUUUAUAUGUUGGAGUAAUAUGCUUAUGUUGCCUCCUUUGGACUGGUGGGUCGAGCUCUUUCCUUGGGUGGCCGUACCCACUGGAAAUUAUUUUCAUAGUUCUCACCCCCAUGUUUUUCAGGUCGGCACGUGAGCGGCGCGGCGGCACGAGGAAAGGGCAUAACUCAAUAGAUAGCACCCUACCACUUGUGACCAGGAUAGAAGUACCCUUUACUACGUAGCUUAGGGGUAUUGAAAUGUAGAGCAAGAAAAUAUUGUAAUAAUCAUUGAUUGUAUUUGGAAAGAAUGAAAGAAAAAUGUAAUGCGUAAUUUGAAAAUGAGACGAAUGCUUGUAAUAGCGUAGUUAUUUAUGUCUAUGAUGCUCUCCUUAUGCAAUUUGUGUGUGAAUUCUGUUCUUGGUUGGAACAUCUUGAAUUGUACUGAUUGCAACGCCUUGGACGUUGUUACGUACCUGACUCGGCGCAACCCGUCGAUGGCGAGAUAUCGCUAAGAUGUUGGACGACGUCGAGGAUGAUGGUUCCCGUAACCAUAUGACUCAGAUCAGAUUUGAUCAAAAUCACAAUAGUUUGAUGAUAGAGAUGAAGAAAGAAAGAAUAAGGAAGAAUAGAGGGAAUAAGAUAAGAGGGAUUAAGAAGAGAUCAGGAGAAUGAGAGAUGGUGAUGAAGAGAAAGAUAAAUUUCAUUAAUCUCCAUAAAAAAUUCCUCCAGUUACACGCUGCCUUUUAUUCACAAUGAUAGAUGGAAACAAAACCCUAAUUCUAAUUGGGCCUCCAAGGCUUUCACUAACGGUCCACCUUCGAGUGAGUGGGCCUCUUCUCUGGCCUCCUCCUGAUGCCAUAUCGGAUCCACAUCUCCUUGCGCCCGAAUCCGCCAGAAGUCUCGAGACUCUGGGUCACUUCAUCAACUGGCCUAGGUUCCUGUCGAUCCGCCUUAUCCCUUCUUCCACUUCUCCUGUGUCUCUCUCUCCUUGCGGCACACUCUCUCUCCAUUGUUGAGGGCGGAAGCUUUCAACCCCCAGGUUCUGAAGCUGAGAAAGAUAAGCCCUUUUUCACCUCUUUUAUUUAUCUUAGCUAACCUCCUUACUAUUACUCCUAAUCACUUCUCACGACUCGGCAGGCGUGACAGACGUACAGGGCAGACUCUGUCCGUUCGGUGGGUCUGGCGCACACGUCCGUGAAGGACUUUUUCCACCUAUUUGGGGAAGGGACGGCAGGGCGUGACAGACUAAGGUGGUAUCAAAAAGUAUAAGAAGUUGAAUUUAAAAUAUAAUUUUAAAAUUUAAGUUCAAAUCGUGAGUUCAAAUUUGAAUUCAAAUUUUGAUUACGAAUUUGGACAGUAAAUUUAGAAUUUGAUUAAACUUUUAAACUUUUUGAAUUUCAAUUUGAACAUGAUCCAAGAUCAAUUCCUCUUAUAUACCGAACAAAUUAGGAGUUUUCAUCAUUCUGUUUUCAAUUUCAGUCCAUUCCCAUUCCCAUUCCCAUUCCAAUUUCGAUACCUAUUUAAACCAAACAUGCCCUUAAUGUAUUUUAAUAGUUAAUAAGAUAAAAUAUAUAGGGUAAAUUACACUUUUGGUUCUCAAACUAUAAGAAGUAUGACACUUUUGGUCCUCAAACUUUAAUUUGUUGCAAUUUCUAACUCGAACUUCUUAAAUUGUUAUAAUCAAGUCCCACAAUCCAAUUUAGUUAGCUAUAUGCUGACAAAUUAUUCAUGUAGAAGUUAUGUAGAAGUAUUAUGAUUGAUGAUGCGACAACAAUUAAAAUACUAUAGUACUUCUACAUCAACAAUUUGUCAAAAAUUAGCUAACUAAAUUGGGUUAUAAGACUUGAUUGCAACAACUCAAAGUUAAAAAAUUGAAACAAAUUAAAGUUUGAGGACCAAAGUGACAGGCACCUCAUAGUCUAAGCACCAAAAGUGUAAUUUACCCAAUAUAUAGUAGAGACAUAUAUCAUAACCAUUCAAUACCUCAAGUUCCCAAGUUUAGAGUUCACCUUCCAUCCUAGGAUUAUUUAAGGCAAAAUUACGAAACAUGUUUAAAAUAAUUCACAUUGACUCAUCCUAAUUUGAACAACGUCUCUCUUAACCCCACGAUAACUCUGAUGCUAAAUCAUGUUUGGGCUAAUGGUCAUAACAAAGUUAGACUUACACCUUUGAGAAUAGUGACCUAUGUAAACUCAUUAGCGACAGAAGCAGCAAAUUGAGUCCCUCAAAUGUUUCUUAUCCAUCACAACAUCCAAAGCAUAACUAUAAUUGUCUUAAAGUUGACUUUGUAGACCAGAUAUGAAAAUAUUUCCUGCAUUUCUUGUGCACCUCAACCUUUACAGGUACGCAUUUCCUCCUAUUUUUUUGAAUAGGACCUCAAGUUCAUUUUGGUAUUGUGGCAUCUACUGGCACACGAAUCCACAAAAAAGAACAAUAUAUACACGCAGAAGUUCAACAGUAGGGAUUAGUCUUCGCAUUUGUAUCGUUGUAUUACAUGUUAUUAAUCAUUCAAUCAGGCCUCUUAGUAGCGAGAAUCGAUAUCGAAUUCUCAUACCAAUGUGUGUAAUCCUUAAUUCGAUGAUAACUUAAAUGGAAUAAGAACAGAAAGCAAAACCAAGAAAAAAACUUACUAGGAGUAAGCUCUCCCUCAACACGACCUUCUACUUCACCAUUGCAUCUGCAUCCAUCCCGCAAUUCUGAACCUCUCCCAGCUACAAAAGACCGUGCUUCGCCCCUCUUCCUGCGGCUCGUUGGAACCACCACCACCCCAUUCAAGACGCCCUUUUUCUUGCAAGAAUCUCCAUUUCCCUGCCCCGACGACAAACCCCCACCCUUCUUCGCGGCCCGACCCUUGAUCAGCGGCCUCAGCGGGAAAGCCCUAACCCGGCCGACCUCACCGAGGAUCAAGCACCCCAUCGCCGCCGCCAUCGCGUAGAUCGGGGUCGAUAAUUCGAUCACCGCGCACUUGCUCAGCUCGACAACGGCCGCGGCCUCUGAGGUCCGCGCGGCGAGGAUCCAGAUCUGGGCGGCGGCGAGGGAGUGGAGGGCGACGGCGUUGACGGAUCCGGCGAGGCGGACGCCGAGGCCGAAGGGGAGGGCGUCGACGGCGAGGCCCCGCGCCGCGGGAGCGGCGGGGGCACGGGGGUUGAGGGCGAGCGAGGCGGGGGCGAAGGCCGAGGCGCGGGAGGGGAGGGACCAGGCGCGGAGGAGGACGGAGGCGGAGGGGGAGGGGGAGGCGGCGAGGAAGAGGACAUGGGCGGGAGAGGAGGGCGAGAGAGGAUGCGUGACGAAGCAUCGCGGCGGCCGAUGGAGGACGAGAUGGGGGGCAGAGAGGUAGAGAGGAUGAGGAGGCAAGAUGGGAAGAGGAGGGGGAGAGUCGGAGAGAGAGGAGCAAGGGGCGAGGAAUGGAGGAGAGGGAGGAGGAGAGGGCUCGGAGAGGAGAGAGACCGCGGCCGAGCGGGUGAGGGGGAGGGAAUGAAUUGUGGGCGUGGAGAGGCGCGCGGCAGCGCGAGGCGGACGGAGGCAUAACCGGCCGCGUGUUGCGGAUAGUAGCCUAAGCGGGCAUAGUGAUUGGAUGUCGGGAUGGUAAGCGAGAAGGAUCAAACGGGAGGGUGGUUUUGAUAUAUAGGACCACUGCUGUUGAGACUUUGAGGAUAGUAAUUGCUCUACAGUUCUUUUUUUUAUUUUAUAAAAAAAAUUAAUUGAUUAUAUAAUUUUUUAAAAAAAUUAUUUGAUUAAAUAGUCUUUUACCAUCAACUUAACGCCAAAGUGGAUGAAACUAUACAAGACGGUAAAGCGGUCACCGUCUUCAGAAAGACGAUGAAUCAUCUUUAUUGUCUUUUAAAUUUUCUAUAGCUUUCAAAUUUAUUCUAAACAAAUACAAACCGCUCAAUCCAAGCCGCCACCGCCCCCAUCGAAGCUGGUUUUGAAUUCCUUCACAAAAAAAGGAUUUUGAUGAGAAAGAGUGACGUCGGAACUUAAAGGGGACGAGAAGAUAGAACAAAUAUGAAUCGAUAAACACUUGACCUGUCUUAGAAUCUACUACGUCGAACUCGAGUAUACUCACCACUAUACAGAAUCCACCAACACAAUGAUUGAGCAACACUCUUCUCUCACAAUAAAUCAAUCUAACAGAUAGAAGUAAGAAGAAAUUCUUCUUUUCAAAUAAAAGUAGAAACUUCAACUCAACUUAACUUAUUUAUUAUCAUAAAAUUGUUAUAUAUAUACAGGCUUACAAAAAAUCUUUCAAUGUUCUUACGCAUUAACUCACUUAUAAUUUUCACAAAAAAUCUAAAUGACAUUUCUAGAAAUACUAUAAGCUACACAUUAUUCUAGACUACCAUAAUUUUUUUAAGAAAACAAAAAAGACAAUUUAUAAAAAAACUAAGGGACACAUUUAUUUCAAAACUAUUAUUUUUUGAGCAAUGCCUUCAUCCAUCAAUUUCAAGAAUGGUGUCAUGCUUCUCCUGUUGAAAAGAAUUAAUCCUCAAGUUUGGUAUGUAGAUCGUUUUUAUAAUACCGUGAAAGAUCUACAAUAUUGAAAGUCGCCGAAAUAUUAUAAUUAACAGGCAACUCGAUUAUAUAGGCAUUCUCUCAUAUUCUCUUAAGCACCUUGAAUAGUCCAUCUGCCCUUGGUUUAAGCAUACCACGUCGGCCUUGUCAAAAGCGCUCCUUGCAAAGAUGCACCCACACUAAAUCCCUCCUCUUUGAAGGUUGCCAAUUUGCGAUAUUUGUUAGCAGCCUUAUUAGGUUAGUAGCACUCGGCAGUAGGUCGAUACAAUGUUGGAUCUCCCGUAAAUGUGGAAGGGCGAGUGGAAUCUUCUCCAGUAUUACAUCUUGAAACUCGUGAAUAAAAGAUUCAAUAAUAGAAGGUAUUUCAUUCUCUAUUUUAUUUUCCUCUACGAUAAGUAAAGUAUAGGCCUCAUUGGACCUUGAUCCUGACAACUCCUUAAGAAAUAGUGAUUUAGAGCAUAAGCUUUUAUCCUAUUCUAUAGAAAGUUGGGAUAAAUGCUUAGGUUUGGAUGGAUCUAAUGUGACUUUAACGCCAUUUUUGGUAAAGGUAUAAGUGUUCUUAAAGCCAUUAAGCAUGACUUUUCUAUCACAAUGCUAAAGACAUCCAAAAAGUAAGUGACAUGCAUCCAUAGAGAUGACAUCACAUCACACCUCAUCUUUAUAAUUUUUUCCAAUAGAGAAGUAAAUCAAGCAUAUUUUCUCCACUUUCACAUCACUUUCUUUCUUAAGCCAAGAGAGCUUAUAUGGUUGGGGAUGUUUCUCUACAUGAAGUUGUAGUUUUUCUAUCAUAGUAAUAGAAACCACAUUUUCACAACUAUCUCCAUCUAUAAUAACAUUAGAUAUUUUGCCAUGAAAAGUGCACCAUGUGAAAAAUAUUGUUGCAAAGCCAAUCAUCAUUCUUGACGGAUGUAGUGCUUAAGGCUUGCUGUAUGACAAGAGCCUCACCUCCAUUGCCAUAAGUGACUUCAUCUUUCUUUUCAACCUCUUUAUUAUACACGAGUGAUGUAGUUUCAAGACAUUCAUUUUCAUUAGAUGUCUCCUCCAAGAGAGUAACAAUUCUUUUAUUUGGAUAUUCAGAGGCAAUGUGUCCGAGGUCUUGACAUUUGUAGCAUCGCCGUGGGUUGGAGUUAGAAAAACUAGGAUGACUGGAAGCAGCCACCAUCUCUUGUUUUUGUGAAGAUUUUUGGGAUACGGCCUUAGAAGCUUCAGAAGAACUCUCCCGAUUAGAAGUGUUCUCACGGCCUAUGGAUCAAGUACCACUGGCAUUUUAUAGGCAACGCUCUUCCUUUGCCUUGAGUUGCCUCUUUGCCUUAAUCGCAAACUUGUAGACAUUAUUGUAUGCCCAAUAAUGUUGAACGUUAAUGAUGUCGAAAGUCUCACGAUGAAACCUACCAAGAAACCGAGCGAUAGUUUGCUCAUUCGGUUCAUAAAUGCCACACCACAUAUCAAACUCCUAUGAGUACUCCUCAACGGAGCGAUUCUCUUAUUUCAGGCAGUAAAACUUAAGAAAAAUAUUUUGCAUAUAGUGUUUUGGUAAAUACUUCUUCUUGAGUUCUUUCUUCAUUUUCUCCCAAGUUUGUAUUUUUUAUUUUCCUUCAUGAGCUCGUCGAAUUUUGAGUUACUCCUACCAAAUAAAUGUAUGCUUUUUAAACUUGAUGGCCAAAGGCUUUACUUUACAGUACUCGAGUACCUCUUCAUAUUCAAAUAUCCACUCUACAGUGUGAAGCCAAUCAGUGAACUCAUUAUGUUGCAUCCUUUUUUCGAACUCAGGAAUAUUAACUUUGAUGCCGAGAUCCCGACAGAACUCAUACAAAAAAAUUAAUAAUUAGUCGCAUAUAUAAAUAUUGUUAUAUGAAUAAGAAAUAUAUCUAGAUCUUUUAACAACAUUUAAAGAUUAAUGUUGUCUAUGCCCGUGUUGCUAAAUCAUUUAGCAGCAUAUAGAAAAUUGUUGCUGAUACUGAAUGGUAGCAACACUUGAUAAAUAUGAGUAGAGCUACUAUACUAUCGGAAGCAUAAAUUGGUUGGUGCUUUUGAUUUUUUAGUUUUUAGAUCAACUCAUUGAUCAUUUCUAACUAUUGGAUUAAUAUUAUUAACCAAUGCGGACCACUCAACCCUAGGGGGACCACUCAACCCUAAGGGGACCGCUGUCAUCCCAACCGUAGAAUCUUUGAUUCAAUGGCUAAAAAAUCGGAAGCACCAACUACUUUAUACUUCCGAUAGCAUAGUAGCUCUACACGACAAAUAUUGCUAUAGAUAAAUUUGAUAAGAUAUUUUCAAAAUAAUUGUAUAUGUAAUGUAAUUAAUUCUUACAUUAAUAAAUACUGCUAAUUCAUUUUGAAUUUUUUUGUCAUAAUUGACAAUUGUAGCAUUUAAAAUUAAUUUAAUUAAAUUAUUAUUAAUUUUUUGAUUAAUUAUUAUAUUCAUAAUUUAUAAAACUCACUCAUACCAAAUAACAAACAAUAAUGUACAUGAUAGAUAUCAAUCAAAAUUCUAAUUAAUAUAUAUAUAAUAUAAUUAAUUUGAAGAACAAUGUUAUACAUUAGAUAUUAAAAAAUAUCACAAAUUGUUUGAUACAAAAGGUAUCUAAUAAAAUGAUAGUAGUAUAAAUACUAUCAUAAUAAAAUGAAAGCUAAUUACUUCACGAACAUUUCUUCAAUUUGAACUUACCAUGAUGUAUGUAGCUCUACUUGUGCUUAACCUUUUAAAAAAGAGUAUCUAAAAAUUAAAUUUGAUUUACAAAGUUAUAAAAUAUAAUAAAAAAAUUUAAAAGAAAAAUUAGUAUUUUGUGCAUAAAAACGUAUAUGGUCAAGCCACCGAUACACCUACGAUAUCUCUAAUGGUCAAAUAACUUUUAUAAGGUCUUAACAAUGGCCCAUUGCGAAGUAUUGGUACAUCUAUCUAAACUUUCCAAUAUUGUGAUCCUAACUCAACUCUUACUUUCGUCGUGGAAUUUUUACUUAAUAUAUAACCUCUUACCACGUUACCAUAAUACCUUUUUAAACUUUUCAAAUACACUUCAUUUCCACCCUUCAAUCAACAAAGAAACAAAUCAAAUAUUACAUGCAUUUUGAUGAAAGAAAUAUAUAAAAAUAACAAAAAGAAAAAUAAUAAAAAACAUCAAGAAGAUAACCCGACCAUCUAAUAGGAUGAGAAAAUUCUUCACAAUAUUUUUAGCUCAAUGUGUCUGUAACAAAAUGUCUAAUAUACUUAGCCAAUAUUAUUUUUCAAUAUUAUAAAUCAAUCCGACAAGAAACAUAUAGCUGUAAAUGAUCUAAGGUAUCAUGUAUUUUUAAUUGCGUUACAUUUAUAACUAUAUACAAUCAAAAACUUAAAUUAAAAUAAUAGCUUCAUAAUUUUAAUUAUUUCAACAAAAUUAAUAAUGUUAAUAUACCUUUAAUAAAUAAAAUUUAGAAUAAUCAACGGCUAAUAGAAAAUAGAACCAUUAAAUUUAAUUAAAUUGUUAACUGAAUUAACUAAAACAACUCAAAUUCAAUAUGAAGUUGAUAAGUUAUUUUUAAAAAGAUCUAUUUCAAUAGGAGAAAUUCUCUAUAUAUUUUCACCACUAUUUAUAUGAAAGAAAGGAUAAAAAUUAUAGAUGCGUAAUUAAAAUUCAAAAAAAUUAAGGGCACAUUAGUAGGGCCAUAAAUUUCAAAAAUCAAAUAAUAAUCAAAGCUAAUUUAAGCCAAUAGCACUAAAAAAAACAUAUAAUAUAUAAAAAUAUCUAAACCAACAAUAAAAAUACAAUUCAAAAGAGUAGUUUUUACUAUUUCCACCCAGUUAAAAAGCUACAAAGACUUUUUAUUGAAAAAUAAAAUGCCAUGAAAAGCUCCAAAAACUAUUUCUCCUCAGAGGAGGGGACUACAACUAGCGGACCAUAACCACAUAUGUUAAUUAAAAAAUCUAAUAUUAUGACAAUAAAAAAGUAUAGACACUAUUUAAUUCCAUAUAUUUGAGAAUCAGGAGGAGAAAAAGAUGCACCAAGUUAAGGAAAAAGAAACUGCCCAAGCUUUUUCCGCUUGUAAAGGCUGCGAUGGCUUUUUUUUUUUUUUUUUUGAAACGGGUAGCUAGCUAACUAGUUAAGUAAAAAGCCCACUUUAUUUUAUUUCAAAUCCUAAGUUUGCCCUAUUCGACACCCCCUCCAAAGAAAAAAAAAAAAUCAUAUAUGAAAUAGAAAAAUUUAACCACACUAUUUAAUGUGCUAAAUAUUAAAUUAGUAUAUUAAAUAAUUUAUAUAUAGUAAAUAUUAAAAUAAAUAUCUGUAUAUUAUAUAUAUAAAAUAAUUUUUUUACGAGUCUAUUUUCGGCAUCGGGUACCGAUAAAAAUAAUAAUUCCAAUCGGAAUUUAUUGAAUUUUUAUUUUUUAUACCCAUAAUCGAACCAAUACAUCUUUACUAUGGAUUAAACCCGACACAUUUGGGUUUGGGGUUGAGUUAAUUUUCAGUAUCUUUUCUCAUUUACAUGACUAAAAAUAGCAAAUAUUGUAUUGUGGCUUUAAUUAAUUGAUCAAAUUAAUAAUUUACAUUUACAAUUAAAAUUAAAGAAUUCCAAUGUAAAUUUAAAUUUAGAAUUAAAAUUAAUAAUACAAAUUCAAAUAUGUAAUUUACUACAACAUUCAUAUUCAAGUUAAAAUGUAUUACUAAAAUUAGUUCCAAAAUCAAAUUUAAAUUUGAAUUUUAUGUUUGAAUUGUAAACUGAAAUUUGAAUUCAUAUCUUAAACAACUAUUAAAUUUAUAAUUUUAAUUCAUAUAUAAAAUUUAUAAUUUGAUAUCCAAAUUUUUAAUUAAAAAUUUAAGUUAAAAAAUUAAACAUUUAUUUUUUACCUAAGCUUUAAUUCAAUUUAAAACUAUAAGUUAAUUAAAAAAUAUAUAAGUUUGUAUAUGUGGGCAAAUUAGUUUGACCACUAAUAAAUUUCCAUGCACUUGUUUGUGCAUCUAGGACAUUUCUUAAUUAACUACCAAUAUUUUGUAUAACUUAUGUUAUUUUCAUAGUUAUUUUAUAAUUAUUCUUGUAUACAAGUUUUAAAUAUUAAUUCUUAUUGUGAAAUAUAAUAAAUAUUAAUUCUUAUUUUCAUAGUUAUUUUAUAAUUAUUAUCGUAUACAAGUUUUAAAUAUUAAUUCUUAUUGUGGCAGAUAAUACUAUAUGCCGGUAAUUAUAGUCUUUAGCAAUGUUUAUUAUAUAAUGUUGGUGAAUUUAUAUAUUCAGCAACACUUUUAUUUGUGUGUUAAAUAGUAGCAUAUUCUUAAAUAUUGCUAGAAAAAUAUUAGUAAAUAUUAAUAUUAUUGUAAUGAGGUUGCCAUCGUAGAAAACCUUCCUCAUUAGGUGCCCUUUUACGAGCAUUAUUAAAAAUGUUGAUAUUCUCCUUGUCUUCUUGCUUUGAACUAUGAUGGGAAUCAUCAUAUUCUAAAGCUUUAAAACGAGCAAGUCGCUUCUCAAGAAGUCACACUUGUCUCCGCAAGUCAUCUUCCCUCUCAACAUCCUGUAAAUCUCGCUCGCGCAUUGCAGGAUCCUCCAUGUACAUACCACAAUUUCGGUUGUUGGCUAUCUUGAACAUAGGGCUCUAGUACCAAUCUGACGCCAGAACUUAGAGGGGACGCGAAGAUAGUACAAAUACAAAUCGAUAAAUACUCGAUCUGUCGUAGAAUCCACUAUGUCAAACUCGAGUACACUUACCACUAUAUAGAAUCCACAAACACAAUGGUUGAUCAAUACUCUUCUCUCACAAAAAAUCUAUCUAAAAGAAAAGAGUAAGAAGAAAUCCUUCUUCUCAAAUAAAAGUAGAAACUCCAACUUGUUUAUUAUUAUAAAAUUGUUACAUAUAUAUAGGCUUACAAAAGACCUUUCAAUUUUCUUACGCAUUAAUUCAUUUAUAAUUUUCAUAGAAAAACUAAAAAAUAUUUCUAAGAAUACUAAAAGUCACACAUUAUUCUAAACUACCAUAAAUUUUUUUUUUUAAAAUAAUUUAUAGAAAAACUAACACAUUUAUUUUAAAAUUAUCAUUUAUUAAGUGAGUAAUGACUCCAUUCAUCAAUUUCAAGGAUAGUGUGAGAGAGAGAAAGGGGAGGGGGCGAUGAUUUGAUUGUUUGGGUGCUAUAGUGUGUUGAUAGUGUAUAGAUUGAUAAAUUCUAUACCCACCAGAUUUUCACUAUAAUUCUAGUAUUCAUCAUAACUUAUUGGGCCUGAAAGAAGCCCACAAACUUUUAGGGGAGUUUACAAGUUUGAAAAACAAAUGGCCGGGCCUCCCAUGCCCACAGCUUCUUUUAUAUAUCGAAGGAUUUCUAAAAUCAAUCGAGAGUCCGCCUUCGCUCGCUCGCUCGGUCGCCCUCUCUGUCUCUGUCUCUCUCUCUCUCUCUUCUCCCCUCCCCUCUCCUUCCCCGACCUCUCUCCCCUUCUCUUUCUUUCUCCCUCUCUCGUUUCCUCCUCUUCCCACGCACGUCCCCCUCACGUGCUCUUCGUCGACCCUCUUCUCCCGAAACCCUAGAUCGGUACCCGCUCUAACUCCCAAAACCCUAGGGCUAGGGCUAGGGCUAGGGCUAGGGCUAGGGCUAGGGUUAGGAGGCGUCACCCUAAUUAAGGGCUCAGCUUGCGCCGUAAUGGAGCUCGACGACCGCCGCCGGAGCGGCGCGGCAGCGGCGGCGCCGCCUCCGCCCGAGCGCGCCGUUCGGGCUUCUCGCGCCGAUUCUUCUCGUGUCCUCGAGUAUGAUCCCCGCUCCCCUGUCCUCUCGAUAUUUGUGUGUUAAUUUUGUUUGUGUAGUUUUGUUUUCAAGAAAUUAAGAUAGGCGACAAAUUUUUCAUGGCGUGUUCGCUUAAUUUGUUCGGUGGGAGGAGUAAGCAAUUGGCGCGGGGGAUUUGUUUAGGGUUUUGUACUGCAAUAAUUGGGAAUCACUAUAUUUUUCGGAAGAUUUGUUUUUUUUUUUUUUUUUUUUUUUUUUUUUUUUGUUUUGUUUCUCGAGAAUUAGUUGUGAACUUUUGUGAUUCUAUUUUGUUUUCUGUUUUCAGAAUUAGGUUUAGUUAUAAUAAUUAGUUCUGACAUUUCAAGAAUUCGAUUCUAUUUCCCUUUGAUGAGUAGAGAUCGAAUGACUUAAUUUUGUAGUUUUCAUGUACUCAGGAGUUAUUAUUGCGCCUUUUCUUUGUAACUUUUUUUUCCCCCCGGAGUAAGAGUCUGUUACAUAAUCAAUUCUGAUAAUUUUGAAUUCAAGUUGUUGCCUAUUUUAUGACUAGAUUUCGAAUCCCUGAUUCUUGUAAGUAGCUGUAUAAAGUUUAUUGUUUUUUUUUUUUUUUUCCUUGCGAGAAUUACAAACUGUGGCUGAUAUUUCUUUUUGUCUGAAAAUUAGGUUUUCAGUGUUUACCACACAAAGUUAAGGUUUCAGUGUUUACACAAAUUAGGAUUUCACUGUUUGUCUGACAUUUUUUUGUAUGAAAAGCGAGAAAGAUUAUUAUUUGACUUAUAUAAUUAACUAGUUAUUUGGUGGGUCAUGAAAAGAUCUAUUGUCAUGAAAAGAUCUAUUGUAAGUGUUUUUGGCAAGAUGAAGGGCAUGCCUUGAUUUCUUGGCCUCAAUGUUUGAUGAUUGCUAUUUAUUUUUAAGCUCAAUUCUUGAUGCUUCCCUUCCAGGUAGAAGGAACAUAUUAAUUGCUUGUUUUUCCUCGCUUCUGAAACAGUUUUGCUAGUUAAAUUAGCAGCUUUUGUGUUUGACAAUUAAAAAUUUGAAGUUUUUUCUACGGUAGGAAGCUCCUAGGAGGGUCAGGGUCCCAAGAUAGCAGGCUCUGACUAAAAGAUUUUGCUUUUGCUGCAGCGGAACAGUGUUGGAACAAAUUAAUGAAAAAGCUGUACUUUGUUUUUUGAGCAGACUGACUCAAACAAUCCAGCUGGGUCAAACAUGCUCUCAUAUAAGAAAAGCAAAACUGCAAAAGAAACCUUCUACUAUUACUUCGGUGUUUUCAUCCGGCUUAUUUUUUUUGCAUUGAUUGAUCUUAGUAACUAAUCUAUUUGAUACUUUUCUUCCUUGUAUAUUGAAUCCUUACGAUUUUGUUUUCUCUGAGCAGGUUUUUGAAAGAGGUCGGCAGGGAGAUAAGUGAAGAUUUGGUUGUACUGAUGCCAAACUUAUUAUCCCUUUUGAAACAUGACGACCCUGCUGUUGUUAGGCAAUCAAUUGCUAGUGGGACAAUUUUAUUUGGCGCUGUCUUGGAAGAGAUGGCACUCCAGGUGCUUUUUUGUAAAAACGGAUGCUAUAUUAAAUGGAUGAAUACAAUUCCUCAUUCGUGUAAAGAUGACUUUGUGGUGCUGCUGUGGUUUCUUGAUGAGUUUUUGUUUUUAUUGUUUCUGUUGCUAUAUGUUUGCCCAAACAGCUAAUGAGAGUGACGAAUUGAUGUUAGAGAAGCAUUUCACUGCAACAGAAGCCUUUCCUCGAAACAAAAUCAAUACUUAAAUUUUCUGCCUCCAAUUUAAUAAUAGUGUGUUUAAAUUCAAUGUGCAUCCCACUAAUGAAAACAAAAUUCGAGGCUUUGCUCUUAUUGCUAUUAAGGACAUAAAUGAGGCACAAAUUAUGGAACCUUGGUUAUGGUUUUGGAUCCCUUUACACUGUAAACCACUCAAUUCUGAUGCAACACUGAAAGGAUACUGGAUUUUCUGUUAUUGUGAUCCUUGAGAAUGUAUAAAAGGGAGAGAGAGAGAGAGAGACAUGAAUUUGAGAAGAUUGCACAUUGCAACCAAGUGAAUUACUCAUUUGCUGUGAUUAAGUUUGACGAUUCCCCAUGGCUUUUGAGUUCUCCCAACCAUUCUAUGUGUAAUAUAUAAAGAUUACCAGCAGAAGCAGAAAAGAUUCUUAUGUUGUCCUCUUUUAAGAUGCUUAUGAAAGAAAUUGGUACUACUUUUCCAUUUUGGUCCCAAUUUAUUCCUUUGACCUUUAGUGCUGCUAUUUUUCACUUGAUUUUUGACAGCUUUUGAUCAUGCAUUACUGCAUAGUGGGAACACUAGUUAAGAUAGGGGGCAAGAAUAAAACGGAGCGACCGCGUGAUUGUUAUACAUAUUGCACUGGUAUCUUGUACAAGAACAAGAAGCCGCAAUUCGUGUUGGUGUUAUGAAUAGAAAAUUUGUAGGUGGACAGGGUACUGAAUUGUGCCUAUUCAGUAGGUUAGUGCAUGUGUGGUUUAAAUAAGAUAAAGAAAAUUAUAAUGAGAAAAAUAAAAAGCAAGAAUAUGUAAUUAAUAAGAAGAAAAUUAGAAGAAUAAAAGAGUAAGAAUAUUACAGAACAUAUAAUUAGCUACUUAAAUGUUGUAGGACAUUGUGACAUUAUAUGUGUUGAAGUUUCUAGUAAAGUAGAAAAAAUAAUCUUAGUACGAAAUAAUGAGUAAGAAAAAUAGAAACAAAGUUUAUCUAUCAUUCUGAAUAUAUCAUUCUUAUUUGACUCUCACUAGGAUAAUCUCAAUGGUUAAAAAGUUAGAAAUCCCUUAGAUCGAUUGGCAAGUUGAAUUGCACAUUAUGGUUUUAAAUUUGCAUGGAAGUAACACAAGAACCAUAUAUUGUUCUAUUUUCAGUGUUUGCUGAAAGCUGACUUUUUGCAUAGCGAGUAGGCGUCAUAUAUCAUAACUAUAAAGCAACUCGCCUGUUGUCAUGCACUUAAAUAUAUAUUGAUUAAGCAUGCAGAUGAUCAGCUACAUAAAUAUUAGGACAUUAAUAUUAUUGUGUAGGUUUAUACAUUUUAUCUUGUAUUGAUUAAUUUGGAUUUCUGUUUUCUUGCAUUAGCUCAUUGCAUUUUCGCACAUUUUUUAUUUGGUUAUAAUUCUUCUAGUAAGCAUUUUUUGGAAAAGCUCUGAUAUGUUAUACAUUGUUUUUAGUAUCCAGGUUAUUUUUAGUUAUGCUUUGCAUAAAUUGCGUUGUUACCAGAAUAUUAUAUAGACACCAGGAGGUACCUUCCUUUCGGAAAUCAGAAUCUUAGCAACUAGCUGUGCUAUAUGUUCAGUAUAUUGGAUGAUCACAAGGUAUUUACAAACAGGGUGCAGAUUUGAUGAAAAUACCAAUUGGUGAUAUGAUUCAAGAAAUCAUCUAAGGUGAUUGUUCAUGUCAGAAUUUAAGGAUUCAGAUCAAAUGGAAGAUAUUGCAGAUGGAAAUUACUGAAAAUUCUUGGUAAAGAAAGAUACAGUGGUCACUUAGGAUGAUUGUGCAUGCUGCAUCAAGUUUUAGUUUUUGUGUAGAAGCCAUAAUGUUAUUUGAGUAAUACCUAGUUUUGGGCCCUUUCUGUUACUAUUUGAAGUUGUCAGACCUUGAUUGAUCUUUUUGUAUGUGAACUCCUAUAAGUUAAUUGUUUCAAAGUUUAAGAUGUCGAUUAGGAAUAGUUUAAGUUGGUCUUUUGAUAUCUCAGUUUUGGUGGAUCAAUUUGUACAAUUUUGAGAUUUAGGAGACAAAAUAUCUGAAGUGACUGGCAAUUGAAUAACCCUAGAAAUUUAAGCUGUUCCACUACCACUAUGUAUUAAGAUGAUGCUGUCUGUUGUUUCAGAAGUACUACUGCUUUGAACAUUAUCCUUCUGUAGGAUUCCAGCUAGAAAAUAUAUAGUACGGUAAUGAGAGCAGAGCAUGUUACUUUUUUGAUUUGACACUACACAUGCAAAAUUCUUAGUAGAGGGAUCCCAAAUGUAUAUUUUGCUGUCAAGGUUGUCUAAUGGUCACUAGGAAGAGUGAGACCCCUAACUGCCUAAGUGUCACUUGGGGUGUUCGGGGCAAUCUAUGGGCUUAUUUAAAAUGUCUGCUAAGCAUAUUUGGAAAGCAACUUGGAAAAGCUUUGGAAAAUCGUCUCAUUUACCUAAUCAGAUUGUCUCAGAUAUUGAUCAUAAGAAACUAGAAUCUAGGAUAUUCCCAAUAUGAAUGUGCUGCCACUUGACUCGUAUGAAUUCAGUAGUACAUUUUCCAAAAUACCAUAAACCCAGGAAAAAGAGUGCAAACCAAAUAAUAAGGUACAUAUUUUUGUUAAUUGUACUUCCUCAUCCUCCUCAUUCUAUGUUCUCUAUCUAAAAAAGAUAAAUAAAUAAACAGUAUAUAUGUACCAGUAUUAUGAUUUCCUUUAGCUAAAGUUAGUAGUCACAAGUUAAUAGUCACCAAGGUGGCUGACAUGGCUGGGCUAAGGUGGGAGCUAGGUAGUUAUCUAAUUUUUAAUGCAUCCAAUCUGUUGAAAGCUAUCUAAUUAACUUGUGCCUAACUGCUCGGAGCUUAUAAAACUCCUUGAUGGAUAACUUAGAUUCCUGUGCAGUUUUUUGACAAAAACCUUAAGAACUAAAUUUUUUUACUUCAAAAGGCAUUACACUGACAAUUUGCAUGAAAUUCAUGAAGACCCUCAUUGUGGAUUUCAUAGUGCAAUUUAUUUCCUUGAUAUUGAGUGAACUUGUUGGAACCAAAGGGAUAAUUGAACAGCUAUACCUAGGCUGCAAUUUUGACAACUUAUUUAGUGCUAAUUUUUCCUUCAAAGAGGGUAAGCCUCAACAGAGCUAAAUCAUUCCUCCACCCUUUUUGAAAUUGAACAAAUAAGGAGCAAGCUAACAUGUUUUUACAUUUCUAUUCAUGAUCCUUUUCGCAAUUCAUUUCUUGUUUGUUUUUGUCCUUGGCCUUUAAUAUGAGCUAUCAUUUCCAUUGUGUAGUAAUAAUGUUUGUUUGUUUUUUUUUUUUUAAGUACAGCUAAAUUCAUCUGGUAGAGUUGAUGGUUGGCUUGAAGAAAUGUGGUCUUGGAUGCUUCAGUUCAAGGACAGAGUUCAGGAUAUCAUGAUGGAGGUGUGCUUCAACUUUCUAAGCCAAUGAUAAAUAUUAUUGCAAAUUUCCUAAUUGUUUACAUUGCUAUAUUGUGUAGUGUUAUAUGAUGUCAAACGCAUUUUAAAAAUACUAUGCAGUUACAAUAAAUUUUUGGCAUGAAACUAGUUUGCUUUAUAGUUAUUAUAUUGUUGUUCUCCUCCCUUUUGUGUUUCUGUUUGCCUUUAGUAUCCAGUAAAGUGCCCAGGGAUUUAAGUAUUGUGGCACCAAUACCUGGUUGGUGCCGCAGGGUUAGGAAAAUAAAAUGGAAAAGAAAAAGCCAGAGCGGCUUGGGUAUCGCUCUGGAGCGGCAUAAAAUUAUACUAGGUUAUUGUGGCACCACCCCUAUACAUACUAGGUUAUUUUGGCGCCAUCCCUAUACAUGUUACGUUGUGCAACUGGCAAGACUUGCACAAACUUCUUGCUUGUGCAUUUUUUAUCCCCAUUUAUCGUAGUGCUUCCACUGUUAGAUUAGAUUUUGAUAUGGGCCCAGGGCUGUGUUGCUAGCUAUUCUAUCCACCUAAAGAGAAUUACAUUAAUUUUUAUUUUAGAAAUCUCAUGAUGCUUCUUUGAAUAGAAAAUGCUGUAACAUUCUUUUAUAGAUUACUUGCUUAUAUUUGUUUUUCCAUUGAAAUUGUUCCAGCCUGGUUCUAUUGCUACGAAGUUGCUUGCUCUGAAGUUCCUUGAAACUUGUGUUAUCUAUUUCACGCCUCAAGCCAAUGAUGAGGAAUUAACUUUAACAGAAGGUACUAUUCACUUUUUCUGUACUUAGUGUCAGUUGAUUUACAGUGGAAAGACUCGGUAAGAAAACACGAAAAUACAAAGAAAUAAAAACAUAUACUAGCCUGCAAAAAUUAGUUUUACAUAUAUAUACCUGCUUCUUUUUCUUAAUGUGAUAUGAUUUACGACAGAAAGGCUGUUCAAGAAAAUAUGAAUAGAUGAAAACAUAUAUUACCCUGCAAAAAUUAGUGUUACAUUUAUAUCCCUGCUAAAUGGACCAAGUAGCAGCACAACUUUGUGGAAACCAUUCAUAUUUUUUACUCACUUGAAUAUGUACUCGGCAUUUGAUCAUGACUGAUCAUUUGGAAGAGAGCUUAUUUCUUCCUUUCAUCUUAUCUGGCUAGCUGUCCCUCACUCUGGCGCUUGGUUUAUUGGUUGACCUUUUCAGCCGCUGACUUGCUUUUACUGCUCUCCUAUAGCAUAAGCUCACUCUUGUAAAAAUUGCCUUUCUUUGAGGACUCCUAACGCAAAACCAACCUACGUGUAUUGGAUGACUUCCCUGUUCAUGAGGGUAUUUUUAUGAGGUUAUGAAAGUUUUCUCUUCAAGGAUAUAAUGAAAAUCAGAUAUGACAGAGUUGUAUAUUGAAUAGAUGAUUUUGCAGGGACAUUUGUAAAAGUCUUAAUAAAAAUUAUUUAAACAUGUAAUUAGCAUCUAUUUAUGCAAGAAGCUUAGUGUGUAUCAUCUUGUAAAUUGUUCAAUCAGGAAAUGGACGGAGAUUCACUAUUUCCCAAUUAACUCGCAGUCAUCCUAACUUCAAUGUAGCCAUCCUGGAAACUGAUGCAAAUAUAAUUGUUGGUUUCCUGCUGGAUAUGCUGCGGUCAGCGAAUAAUUUUCGUGGUUCCUUUACAGUUUCUGUUAUUACUUGGUGAGUUUUGAGAUCCCUAUUAUCACUUAUUUUACUUGCUAACAUGCAAAGCAAAGAAAGAAUUCCUUAGUCUCGAAAUUGUGUUAAUCUUAUACUGCAAAUUUAUGGUGGUAAGGAGUUCGCUUUCUCUGUUUCCUUUGUGCAUUUUGUUAUGCUGGGAGUAAUGAUGAUGAGGAAGUUUCUCUAUGUUCAACUAACUAGAAAGUAAAGUAAGGAUUUUUAGAGCUGUCUGAAGAUAACAUUGAUGACAGUCAGCAAUGAAUAUAUGAUUGACGCUCGGUAGAACACUAUUUUUGUCUUUCUUUUCAAUGUGAAAUUUUAUUGCGUAAGAAUUACACAAUAAAACUAUAUCUGUUUUUAGUUUUAGUUAUGCAUUUCUUUAUAUGUCUGGUUUCUCUGUGCAUCUGAACUCGGUGGGAUGGAUUGGGAGUGGGGGUUGGUUGUCCUUAUCCUGUUUGUAGAAGUCAAUUUUACUACUGUAGUUCCCAUGGUUUAUGGUAACUGGCCUUUGGCCUCUCAUAUUUAUGAGAAAGACUUUGAGCCAAACCAUAUGCAUUGUCAAAUUUUAGGUUCCAUAUUUCCCUAUUUUCAGUAUUUCUCUAGCAAAAAUUUACUUGCCUUUUAUUUGCCUUCCAUUUUAUGUUUUGCUUGCUGGUUACUAAAACCUUUUCAAGACUUUUUUUUUCCUCUCCCGUUAAGUAACAUAUUUUCUACCUAUCUAAAAACGCUGGAUCACUAUUGCAACCUUUUGCAAAUCUUUUCUUGACCAAUUAAAAUUGUUUUCUUGAUUGUCAGUCUUGCAGCCAUUGCAAAGAAUAGGGUGCUUCACUAUGAUCGCAUUCUCUCUUCGUUGCUUGGUUUUGAUCCUUAUGUUGAAACUGAGAGAGCUCAUUCUGCAAGCAUUCGAUAUUCAGUGAGGACAGCUUUUUUGGGAUUCUUGAGGUGUAGUCAUCCAUAUAUUGUUGAGGUGAGCAUCCUAUUUUGUUCAAUGAGCUGUUAAAUUGCAUUUUACAUCUUUGUCGUACCAAAGAAGUAGCUCCACUUCAUUGUGAAUAUGUUCAAUACAUACAUACAUAUAUAUAUGAGAGAGAGAGAAAGAGUCUCCGGCUUGUAUCUUUAUUAAUAGCAUGGAGGCCUUCAUGUUAUCAAAUUGUUUUCGAUGAUGGGACAUCUGAAUAGACGAUCGGCCUCAUUAGACAUGAUCUGUUAUAUUGAAAGUAUCUAGAAACCAAAUUUUAUAUUUUUUGAUAUCAUUUGACUAGUGAUCAAAAGGUCCCAAAGUUGAUAAUUUUAAUGGCAGAUGUGAUGCUCUUGUAAGUUUAACAGUGUAGAACAAUCCAAAUAUAAUGAAAUUUUGAUAGAAAUUUUUUUGUCACUAUUUAGAGCAAGAUUAGUACCUCUGAUCUGAAAUUUAAGUCUUUUAUCAUUGCUUUUUAAUGUGAUUUUUAUUUCAACCGGUCAUUUUGAGAUUAUUUGUUCCAUAAAUGCAAUCGACAAUUCGGAUGUCCCAUAAUUGAAACCAAUUUGGCAUAUAUAUAUAUAUAUAAUUAAUGAGAUAAUUAAACUAUCAUGGCCUUUUCUUUUCUUUUAUGUAUUCGACAUGCAAGGCAAUGGAGGAUGCUUCAACUCAUGUAUGAAAGGUUGUGAUCUGUAGGUAUAAUUUCAAUCAACAUGAAAGGCAUAGUGUACAGAUUUAAAUAUUUUAGAGUCAGUCACGAUCUAAGCUUUUAAGGCCUGUGCAAUUUGGAAUGGCUUGGAUUUCUUUUUGACUGCUCUAAGGGGAUUCUUUUACUCCUUUGAUUCUUGCUCGAGCCGGAUGAUGAAAAAUUAUCAUGUCCGGUUCCUUCGGAGGAUGGAUCCGUAAGAAUUCACCUAUCCCAAUAGCUCCAACCAGAUGACUUCUUGCAAUUUGAUGAAAGCAUCCAACUAUUAACCGAACUCGUUCUCACCUUCUUCUCUGAAUAUGUACCUUGCUAUUUCUGUUACUUAUUUUCGCUAAAGAAUAUUGUAUAAUUAUAGAAUGAUUUGAUUGGUCCUUGAAGUGUGAUUUUGUUAUUCCUAUAGUCCUAUGCGAGAUCUUGGAUAAUUUUAAUCUCAAUACCGGUCCUGAUUGGUUUUUGCUCCUUGUUACUAGAUUGUCUUCAUGAGAAGAUUUAGGUUUUUUUCAUAUUUAUAAAGAUUUUCAGAUGUAAUUUCCCCGAAGACUAGCUUAUUUUGUUUAUUCAGGUGUCAUCUGCAGAUUUCUAGCUGUAACUUCCUAGUUUUUUCCUUUUGGUUGUGGUGGUGGUGGAGGAUGAGGAGGAGGAGGAGGUGGAGGGAGGUUUUAGGGUUGGUGGUGGUUUGUGGCUGUUGGUGUUUGACUCUCUAUUUUAAAUGAUUUUAAAAGUUGAGACAACAUUUUUAAUCAAACUUGAUAUCUUCGUCUGUUAUUUAGACAACAUUGUUUUGAUCUUCAGCGUAUUUCUUACUUCUUAUAUCUUACCAAGAACUGAAUUGCUGAUUCUAUGCUUAAUUCUUUUUUUUCUCAUAGUUCUAAAUUGGCCUGAUCUCUAAGAUGCUGUAGAAUCUUUCUUGCUGCUUCUUUCUGGCUUUCUUAUGGUGAACCUAACAUUUGUACUCAUUUUUUAUAGUCCAGGGACAAGCUGCUGAGGGCAUUACGAGCCUUGUAUCCCGGGGAAGCAACAGAACAAUUAAUUAGGCAAGUUGAGAAGAUGUCAAGGAGUGCAGAGCGUGGUUCUCGUGAUAUCCGGGUUAGCAAGGUCAGGGCCUGUUUGUCAUGACUAGAGCUUUCACACAAGUCUUAAUUUACUAGAGCUGUUUGAACUAGCACUGCUACUACUUCAUCAAAGUCACAUAAACAGCUUGCUCUGCAGCCUCUGCUUCAGCGGAAGCAGCACUCAAAAUUGGAGCUUCUGUCUCUGGGGACAAAAAGACCAUUUCAGCAUCUGAUCAUAGCAUAAUAUCCAUUUGUUUUUUUAUUUGCAAAAGGCUUAAGCUUUUGUUUCUGGAGUAGAGAAGUUGCUCUAGAAGUUGGGCCAAAAGUGUCACCAAGAUUUCUUUGGAAGUUUUACGGCCUUUAUUAUCAUUUAUCAGUGAGUAGUCUGUAUGGUAUCAUAAGGAAUUAUGAGGUUUCUGAUGCAAGGUUUUAGAUGCCCAUUGUUAGGGGCUGUGUUUACUGUGCCGUACCGUGACAACAAGAUAUUGGCACGAUCAAGGUUUUAAGUGCUCGUCGGCACGGGCCGUAGCGUGCCAACAAGAUACCGGCACGAUACAGACCCCGUGCCGAUGGGACAGCUCAAAACUCUCUAUUCUUUAAAUUAGUAGAGAAUUUCCUCAAUAAAGUUCAAAAGAUGUGAUAAAAAGACAUAAUAAUACGUAGAACAUUUUGUUACUAAAGAAAAUAAAUAUUUCAUGCUAUUAUGUGUCGGCACAUAAGAAUUUUUUUGACUGGCACGCAUCAGCACGGCUCGGCACGCACCGUGCCAGCAAGUUUUUGGCACGAUCCCGUGCCACGGCACUUAAAUCCUUGAAUACGAUAUGACCUCCGUGUUGAUGGCAUGGCUCAACAUUGUCUUUUUUUUGAAAUUAGCAAGUAGUUAUCUCAAUAAAGUACAAACAACAAAAGACUUGAUAGAGAUAUAUAAUAAGCGAUUAUACAAUAUUGUUGCCAAUGAAAAUAAAUAUUUCAUGUCAUGCUGUGUCGGUACAUAGGUAUUUUUGUGACUGACGCACAUUGGCACGACACAGUACGCAUUUUGCCGUACGCCCGUACCGUGCCAGUAACUUUUCGGCACAAUCUCAUGCCAUGGUACUUGUCCUUGUUCUUAUGCAAUUUUGAUUUCAUGAUAACAGGAUGAUUCGGUGCCUGCUGAAGUGUCUGCUUCAGGUGAUCUGAUUUGGAAGAGGACUGCAUUGAAUUCUAGUGACAUUUCCACUACAUUUAAUGAGUCUCCUGCUAAGAAAGCACGAUUUGAUUUACAGGAUGAGGAUGAUCUCAUCACGGAUAAUUCUUCCAAUGGAAAUUUAAUGAAUAGCACUUUGACUCCUGCUGAGAAAAUGAUCGCAAUGAUCGGUGCUCUAAUUGCAGAAGGGGAAAGAGGAGCUCAAUCCCUUGAACUUCUUGUCAACAAUAUACAUGCAGACUUAUUGGCUGAUAUUGUGAUUGAAACUAUGAAACAUUUACCAGAAAGUCCUUUCUCUUUGUCUGCAAUUAAGCAAGAAAACCUGCCUCCUACAGAUCCCUAUAUGUCUUUUGGUGUCCAAUCAGAUAUUGUAUCAACUGCUGCAGAGAGUAACGGAAUCAGCAUGUCGACAUCUCAUGUGCCUGUUCUCUCUAGUACUGCUGAUGUUAAACGUGACCCGAGAAGAGUAUGUUUUCAGUUUGACUUAUUCAAAUAAUCAUUAAACAGUUAUUUACAUGAUAUCCUAGCCCUGCGAUAUUUGAAUUCUUAUAUUUGUCCUUCAAAGACUUUGUUUCUUGCAUACAUACCCUUGUACUUGAAAACAUGCCGCACCUUGAAGAAAAAGAGAACUUUCUCUGCGACAAAACCAACUUUCCUCUCCAAUUGGAUGACUACUCAUCAUAAGGGGAUCUAUAAGGAACCACCUUUUCAGGGGUCAUUUAUGCAAAAUCUUAUAGAGCAAUGCUACUUGUACUUGCACCCACCCAUCCAAGUGUUUACCCACCACCUUUUGAGUUUUUGAUAUGUUUUAGGAAAAAAGAGUGGCAGGACUAGUAUGUAAAAAGCAGCCUUGGAUGGGAGGAUGUAAGAUUUACACCCACUUUUUGGAUAUAUAGCUUGCUCUAGUGGUUAAAUAUGUAAACUGAUGAUUUUGCCCGGAUACGUUUGUGAUAGAAUAUAAUAUAAUUGAUGUCCAUAUGCAUAAAUCUUUGAAUUUUGUAUGCACAGGUAUGUUGGAUGUUUCUUUUCAUCUGAUUUAUUUACUGUUAUUAUACUGAGGCAAUUUAAUUAUAGGAUCCUCGUCGCCUUGAUCCUCGUCGGGUGGUGGUACCUGCCGAUCUAAGUUCUGGAGCGCAGAAUGUGGAGAGCUCCUCUGUUAUGCAACCUGGACCUUAUUAUUCAGCUAAUAAUAAAUCUAGUUCUUUUCCUGAGACAAUCAAGGUUGAAAAUACACCAGAACCAUUACCUUCCAAAAAUGAUAUGGACUCUUUUGAGAAUUCAGCUGAUCGUGCAGUUGGCCAGCUAGUUUCCAAAGAGAACUUACAGCUUUCUGAUGAAGCUAGAGAAGUGAAGCCAUCUGUGGAAAUUGAUACACCACCCAUCGUAGUACUUCCAUCUGUUGUUAAAGAUGAGCAUGAGCCGGCAGUAUCUGCAUCAUCAGAUUUUACUGUAAAUGAUCAAGUAGAUAAUUACAUGCUUGAAUCUGACUAUUCUUCACAGACCACAAGGACAUCUACCAUUGAAGAUAAUAGUAGUCGUAAUUUGCCAAUGCUUCCGCCUUAUGUGGAUUUAAGUGAAGAGGAGAGAAGGUCGUUGCACCAAUUAGUAGUCAAGAGGAUAAUUGAUGACUUUGAGCGGAAUCUUGUUAAUGCACGACUUCCUUUGCUUGCACGUUUGGUUUCUCAGGUAUACAUUACUUUUCGUCGUCUCUUACAUUUAUCUACAUCAAUGUUUUCUUUCUACACAUUAGGCGAUUCUUUAUCUGUUUAAGGUCUUAGUUGCCUUACUGGUUAUUUUUAAAAUGCCACCAUAUGUUAUGACUUACUGCCAUAAAUACUGUUCAUGCGCUACUUCUACUCCAUGACUUGGGUUUAUGCUGAUUAUUGGAUGGCAUUGCAAGAUGCCGCGCCUACAUGUUGACACCCAGUGCUUGCCACUUAUGCAAUAAACCUGUUCUCACUCUAUUGAUGGUACUUCUAGUUGAUUUCAAAGAAGUUUUCUGUAGACAAUAAAAGGUUCCAUUUGAUCAAGGACUACAAUUUAGUGAAAAACUGAAUUAUCCCAAAAUUUAUUAUUAAUUCUAUUAAAAUCUUUAAUUCAAAUUCCUGCAUGAUCUUUAAUCAAAUAUUAUAAUAUUAUUUCAAUUUUUGCGAAAAAGGGUCAAAAUUUAGGAAAUCGAAGUUUUCUCCAAGUUGACCCUUUUCAUGAUUUCAUCAGAUUAAGAUCAUUGAAAUGCACGAAGAGUUUGACAACAGGAUUUGAGAACUAAUUUGUACUAUUUUGGUUGAAAAAUUUUGAGGGACCGAGGGUUUUGAGCUGUACCAUCGGCUUUGGGGGUUUUAAAGUGUUGAUACCGUUUUGUCACAUUACAGCAUGGUCAGCAUGCCCUGUGGUGACCUGCACUUAAAUCCUAAAUCCUUGCUUCUAGUUAUUCUGGUCCAUGCAAUCUAACUUAAAGAAAUCAGCAUUUAUGUCACACUAACUUAAAAGAAAUUGAAAUAUAUACAAUUAUGCUAGUGUACAUAUUGUGCUGGGGGCAUAAAAUCCAUUGUUAUGGUUCAGUAUAUUAUGCAUACUAUACUAGCAAAAAGCUGGCACAAACACUAUAUAUCGUAUUGCUUUUCCUGAUUGGAUCAACAGAAGAGAAUCGGAUACCGGUGGAAUCGUGACAACACAGCCAUGUAUAUGGACAGAUUUAAGAAAUUUGAAAACUUGUUGCAUAGAAAUAUGUUGGCAAGACUUAAUUAGGUAUAGAGGAAAUAUUAUAGGAAAAAUCAUGUACGGUGUUUACCUUUUUGCUGUUGUCCACUUAAUUAUUUUCGAAGUGUCUAGCUUGUUUUACCAACUUGACUAAUUGAGUCAAAUAAUAAGAAAGAUGUUGCAGACUGAAGUUGCAUACUUUUUCAAUUCACAAGAUUACGUAGAAUAAUACAUGUAACUCUUUCUGAAACUAGUGUAAUUUUAUAUGUGUUCUCUAAUUUUGUCCCAACAUUGUUCUUUGCAUAUAAUUGUUUGCUGGUUGUUUCCUUAAGUUGAUUGUAUCAGCAUCUAUUGCAGUUUCUUCUGAUAUCUGAUUUUCAUUGCCCCUUACAAAAUUGAUCUUUUGCUUAAAUCUCCAUUCCUGAAUUUAUUCUUUUGCCUUUUUAUAUUCUUCCCUUCAGCUUUAACUUUUCAUUUUGACAGAAUGAUGGUGAUGAUGACAUAUUUAAGUUAUUACAAAAGCAUAUCAUUUUGGAUUACAACCGUCAUAAGGUACUUAUUUUGCAUACUCACUUUGUUGUCUCUCUGUUCUUUAUUUUGUUCUUAUUUUGAACUUUUUAUCAUCUGAUAUGGCACACUUGCCGUAAUGUCAGGGUAUUGUGAAUAGUCUGUGGUUUAUAUUCAUAAAUUUGUAAUUGAGUAUUAAACAGGGGUGUCUUACCGGAGAUGAAUGAAGUUAUAGAUGGCCUUACCUACAUGUUAAAUAGACUAAGGUAUAAUUCCUCAGAAGAUUCACUAUUAUUCUGGGAAGCAUGGACCAAUCAAAAAUGUUCUCAUGUCUGUGUUGGAUAUGUUCUAGAUGGACGCUUCACAGGCACGUGUCCAUUGUGAGUCCAUUGUACACUCGCAUCCUACUCACUCGCUACACGUCCAUCACAUGUCCAUUGCUUGUCCUUCGUGAUCCUACAUACCCAGUGUACAUCCGUACUCCAUAGGGUGUUAAACUGUUGAUUUCCUAUCCAAUAGAAGAAAAUAAAUGUUUAGAGAAUAUCAGAAGUUUUUUCCCUAUUCAGUUGUAGUCUUGUAGAUAGUGUAUUAAGUGAUCAUUGAACAAGUAUGCUACCUCAUUAUAUUGCAAAGAAGGCUUUUAAUUGAAAAUAUGCUUUAAGUUCUACUUUGAUAUUGUUAUAGUUUUGUUUAUAUACAAAGCGAUUUAGGAAAAAUCAAUUUCUAAAAUAUAUUAUAUUCAUUGGUCUUGUUGUUGUGUCCAUAACGAAUAGUUGUGUUUUGAGUCAUGUUGUGUGCUGUGUUCUUGUUCGUGUAACCUAUGGUUCAAAUAACUCAGGUUUGAAUAGAGAAAGUCUAUUUGAGACUAGUUAUGGACUUAAAGAGUAUUGAGCCACUGAUAGUGUAAAAACAAAAGCAGAGUUGAAAAGGUGAACCCGAUACUAAAGACAUGCGAUGCUAGUAUUCCAAAUUUAUUGUCGUUGUUAGCAUUUUUCUGCAGUUUUUUGACUUAAUCGUCUUUUUCUUUUUCAGGGUCAUGAAUUGGCAAUGCAUGUCCUCUACCACCUGCAAACUGUCAGCAUUGCUGAUUUUGGUGGGCAUUCUUCUUCCUCUGUUGUCAGCCUUUAUGAGAAGUUUCUUCUAUCUCUUGUAAGUACAUUUUAGCUUCAUAAUAUUUUAUUUUGAUUGUGCUACUACAUUUACUUCGUAUUGUGCGGAAGUGCUCAAAUUUGUGUCUUUGUUUGUAGGCAAAGGCCUUGGUUGAUUCCUUUCCUGCUUCAGAUAAGUCGUUCAAUCGGCUUCUGGGAGAAGCUCCUUUCUUGCCCGAUUCUGUGUUGAAAUUGCUAGAGGAUCUUUGUGUCAAUAUGCAUAGCCGUGAGCACCAUGCAAAAGACAGUGAUGGUGAUCGUAUAACUCAAGGUCUUGGAGCUGUAUGGAGCCUAAUUUUGGGACGGCCUCUUAGUAGACAAGCUUGCUUGAACAUCGCUUUGAAGGUGUAAAUUUCUUGUACAUGUAGAAGAAGAUUCAUCAUUCACUGACCUUGGAAGUAAAUAAGUAGUAAAUAGUGUGUCAUGUCAAAGCUCUGUCUUCUGUUGAUUUGAGGUUGUAGACGUACUUAAAUUUGUAUACACGUGCAUAUGCACACCAACACAAUUUGUUUUAGAUGCGCUUCAUUACCUUAUAUCACACCCUUACUCAUGAAAAUGCCUCUCUUUGAGAAGAUAUCUAUGUUUUUAAUACAAAACUGACAUUUUUGCUCAUGAUUAGGUGACUGCCCAACUUAAGAUAAAUGGUGUUUUUGUAAGAAACUACACCUUAUAGUUGUAAUAUGAAAUUGCAGGAGAUAUAUGUAAAUGUCUCUUACAGUUAAUUCGAACAUCUGAAGUAUUAAGAUGAAAUGGCUAUUCUAUACACGUUACGCAAAUGGCUAAUGUACCAUGAAUUAUGCCUUCUAGAGAUCGAAUCAUUCAGUGGGGAUGUAUGACAGUAGUUUGCUAUCAGGUUUGUCUAAGAAAAAUGUAUAAAUGAUAACAAAUUUGAUGGCUAUUAUAUGAAUCUUGAUAGUCGCAGAAAUGAGUGACAAUUGGAAUAAGCACUAGCACAAAUAAGGUUUCAGAUCUCUCCUUACCGAAGAGUUUCUUUUUAUUAUAACCUUAUCACAUAUUUGAGUAUCCAAUUCAGUAGUUAUGUUUCGAUUUAAGGUUUAUUUUGGUGAUAAUUUGUCAAUGUAGAGCUCUUGAGUAGGAGCAUUGUAUCUUUUUUUUCCCUAGCAGAUACUGAAGUGGCAGUUCCAAAUAGGAAUGUGUAAGAUCAUUGGUAAAGAAUGUGAAACAAUUGUUUGUCUCCAAUAGUUUUAAGCUAUCAAAGAAUGAUGUUUUUAAUAAUCAUAUUCAACACUCUCCUCACGUCUGGACUUGAGACUUUUUGAUAUGCAUAAGACAUGGACUUUAAUUAAAAUGGAAGGAAAUUAAAUGAUACUAGGGGCUAGGUGGGAUUCAAACUCAGGACCUCUUGACUGAUACUAUGUUAAAGAAUGUGAAACAAUUGUUUAUCUUCAAUAGCUUAAGCUAUCGGAGAACAGUAUUUUAAUAUAUAUAUUCGACAAGCAUUAUUAUCUUUUAUUAGUGUGUUUUUCUUUUCCUAUAAACUUAUAGCUCAAGUUGUAAUUGCAGUGUGCUGUUCAUUCUCAAGAUGAAGUUAGGACAAAAUCUAUUCGAUUGGUAUGCAUACUUGAAACUUCUUAUUGUUCUUUUUUCUUUUUUUUUGGUUCUAAUUGUUAUUAUUUCAGUGUAUUCUGUUUCUAUCCUUUUGGAUGCUAAAUUUUUCGUUUUGCCUUGUCAUACAUUUAUGUUCAGGUUGCCAACAAACUCUAUCCUCUUCAUUAUGCAUCAGAACACAUUGAGCAGUUCGCAACAAAUAUGCUUUUGUCAGUUGUUGAUCAGCGAGUUUCAGAGACAGAUGAUACAUCUGUGUCCUCUAGAGAACCAAAAACAGAAGUAAUUUGAACCUUUUGAUCUCUAAAACUACCAACAAUGUUACAUUUUUUGCUUAAAGUGGAAAUGUGACCAGUUUCCUGCAUUUUUCCUCUUUUAUUUACUUGGAAGUUGGAAGAAGCAAGCAGAUUUAUUCUCUUAAAAGGAUUAUAAUGACUAUGACGUACUUUGAUUAUUGAUUACUUCUUUUCACUCUCUUUUGUCAUCAGUUUUUUUUUUUUUCCUAUUAAUUUUGUAAAUAUUGCUAACAAGAAUCUAUGUGUAUGGACUGUCAGGCAGGAGGUAUUCAAGAGACUUCAAUUAGCAGUUCGCAGAAUUCUGAGCCUAUUCGUUUUGAAAGCGAUUCUAUGAAGUCUUCUCUUGUUUCUCCAUCUGUAUCUCUAUCUCAGGCUCAGUGUCAAACUUCGUUGUUCUUUGCUCUUUGCUCAAAGGUAAAAAUUCCCAUAAUCAUCUUUCUCUUAACUGAUAAAAUUUUCCUCAGAAAGUCAGAAUUCAGAAUUUUUCCUUGGGUCAUUUAAUAGGACAUUAGGUUUAGCAGCAUAAUUCAGUUUCUUUUGUGUUUUUGGGGUCUUUUCAGCUGCUCUGCUUAUACAACUUAUAUUUUCUGCAGAAACCUAGUCUUCUUCGACUUGUCUUUGAUAUUUAUGGAAGGUCUCCAAAGGCUGUCAAACAGGUGCUGCUCUAUCUUCUCUUGCGUAUCUUUAUACUAGAGAUACAUAUAUAACCAUGCAAUUGUAUCUAUUAUAUACCGUUGUGAAAUCUGAAUUUUCAUGUAUGCUCUUUUAAAAUAAUAUAACAUAUAUACAUAUAUUAAAAUUCUCCUCUUUAAAUGACUUCUGAUACAAAAUCAACCGCCCCCAAUAAAUUUGAUGACUCAAAUUAAGAUAAGGAUAUUUUUGCAAGAAACUAUACUUUCAAGGGGUAAGCCUGGAAGAUUCAGACUUUAGGCCCUUGUUUGGUUGGGGGUUAAGGGGUGGAAUAACCCCUUAACCCCCAUAUUAUCCCCAAACACCCCAAAAAAUAGGUGGGGUUAGCUAACCCCACCUAACCCCACCUAACCCCACCUCAAAUAAAUUAUCCUGGGUUAGCUAACCCCACUUAACCCCACCAAACUCCAACCAAAUACUAUUUUCUAUUCAUAAUAACCCACUAUCUUUUUUAUCCCACCUACUCCAACCAAUCAUUAUCCUUCUUUAUCAAUCAUUAUCUUCUUAUCUCACCUACUCCAACCAAACACUAUUUUUCAUUAUUCUAGACUAACUCCAACCCCCAACCAAACACAAAAAAAUUUUAACCCCACUUUAACCCUGAACUUAACUCUAUCCCUGGAAUAGCUACUUUUUCCUUAACCCCGAACCAAACGGAGGCUAGGGGUAU